rnacentral:lncRNA from 1 species
AGAGAAAGAAGUAAGAGACUAAUUGGACUUAGUCAGAAUACUUACUUAGAGAAGGUACUAAAACGUUUUAGUAUGGAAAACUCAAAGAAGGGAGAACUACCGAUACAAAGUAAUGCCAAAUUGAGUAAGACUCAAAGUCCGAGUACCGAAGCUGAGAUAGCAGAAAUGAGCCGAGUACCAUACGCUUCCGCAGUUGGCUCAAUCAUGUACGCUAUGACUUGUACUCGCCCUGAUGUAGCCUUCGCUUUGAGCAUGGUUAGCAGAUAUCAAGGGAAUCCUGGUAGAGCACAUUGGAUUGCGGUGAAGAAUAUCCUUAAGUACCUUUGAAGGAAGAAGGAAUGGUUCUUAGUCCUCGGAAGGAGUGAUGACUUGAAGGUACGAGGGUAUAGUGACAUCAGUUUUCAGACCGACAGGGACAACUACCGUUCGCAGUUGGGCUGGGUCUUUACCCUAAAUGGAGGAGCAGUGACAUGGAAGAGUUCCAAGCAGGAAACCGUAGCUGAUUCAACGUGCGAAUCAGAGUACAUUGCAGCGAGCGAAGCGUCGAAGGAGGCAAUAUGGCUAAAGAACUUCAUCGGUGAUCUUGGAGUUGUACCUGCCAUAAAGGAGCCCAUGGAGAUUUUCUGUGAUAACGAAGGCGCGGUUGCCUUGACCAAGGAACCGAGGGAUCAUGGUAGAUCAAGACAUAUCGACAGAAAAUAUCACUUCAUUAGACAUCGUGUAGAAGAAGGACAACUCGUAGUGAAGAGGAUAUCAUCAGAAGAUAACCCAGCAGAUCCGCUUACGAAGGGACUGAGUAGGGUUAAGCACUUGCAGCAUGCUAGGAGUAUUGGGCUGAAGGAUGAUAUUAGCAUAGAUUAGAUAGUAUUAGAAACGUGUAAUAGAUAAAUGUAAUUGACAUUUGAUGAUUAAAUAAAGGAGUUUUAUUUAUGAGUAAUGUUACUAUCUUAUGUUAAUUGUUUAGCUAUUGUUUCACUUUGCAUGUUUUGACUUCCAGAAUAAUUGAGUUUAUUAGGAAUAAUCGAAUUGUUCAAAUGGUCCACAAUCGUUCAUAUGUUGGGAGUAGAUAUGAAUGAAGAUUGUCAUGAAUUGGUGUGUAGAAUGUCUAAAUGGUGUUAGACAUAGCAAAGGAUUGCUGCAACGUUCAUGAGUGCUUAUGAACUAGUUUUGAGCAUUGGAAUAAACCCGCGCUUGCUGGAAUCACCUUAUGGAAUACGAUAUAAAAGGUGAUCGCAAGACGAUAAUAUCAUAUAGUCUUAAAACCUAGAUAUAUGGUUUAUUAUUUGUUAAUUGAUUGUACAUUGAUAAUACGAAAACGCAUCAGUAACUUGGUGUUAUAAAACGUAUUGUUGUGUAUAGUUGGUUAAUGAAUAAGUAAAUGCAUAUAAGUCGAAGUUUAUCUGUAACUUUUAUCUAAGAAGGUAAAAGCGAUAUCUCGGCCGCUCGAUGAUUUGAUUUGACUUAUGUGCCGGGCCCGGUCAGAACUGAAUUGAUGUGUUCGAUUAAGUUCUAUGUCAAAUAAAUCAGAGAUCGAGAAACCUAAAUGCUUGACUAACCAUUCCAUAGGAUUGUCAGCAUGAUAUCUAACAGAGGACUGUACGAUCCCUUAUCUAAAGGACAAGAUUGAUUAGAUCAGAGUUUGACAGCGUCUUUGAGAGCUACGAUUGCAAACCGAAUUGUACUUGUGCAUAUAGUUACUAGACUUAUCCAAGUGGGAGACUGUUGGAAUAGUGUCUAAGGCUGCAACUAUAUUAGGCAAGUAUUUGACCCGGUUGUGCAUGGUCCUUUUGGGUUGCCUUCACCAUAGCAACUUGAUAGGAUGAUUUAUUAAGAGAGAGUAAAUAUUAUUAAUAUAUUAUGAGAAUAAUAUAAAGAAUAAUAUAUUGUUAUUUGAUUAAUAUAAGUCAUAGAAUUAAUUGGAAUUAAUUUGGUGACUUAAAGAGAUUAAUUAAAUAAGAGGGUAUAAACUGUCAAUUGUUUGAUAGUUAAACCUUAGACUGUAAAUCCAUAUAGAUAUAUGAUGGACGGAUUCUAGAAGCUAGGAUAGCUUCAAAUCGUCCAAAGGGAUAUCUAUGGAAAGGAUUUGGAUAGCCUUUAGAGAAGAUUAUCCAAUUAGGGUUUAGGUUGUAACCCUUAAAGAGUCUACAAGUAUAAAUAGACCCUAUGGCUAAGGGAAAUCGGCACAUCAUCUAAAGCAUAGAAACCCUAGCCGAUUUCCUCCCCUCUCCUCUCUCCUAAAUCAUCCUCCUUGCUAUUUGGUGUUUGUAAGCCAUUAGAGGAGUGACAAUUAUGACUCUAGAAGCUCUAAGACAACAAGAUCAACAAGGAAUUCAAAGGUAUGAUUCUAGAUCUGUUUUAUCAUUGUUCUUAUUCUUAAAUAGUCAUUAGAUGUCUUGGAUUCAAAGAAUGUUUAAUUAGAAAGCCUAGAUCCAAGCAUUACGGUUUUGCAUGCGCACAUAGGAAAGUUCUUAUGGCUAAAACCCAUCAGAUAUUCGGGAAGGCAAAACAUGCAAAGUGAAACACAAGAAUAAUAUAAUCCAAUAUGGUCUCAAAACUUUUGAAUAUAAAUAAAACACCUUUUAUUUAAUCACCAUAUUGAUUACACAAUAUUCAUUGUAUAAUGUUUCGAUUUAUCAACUUAAUAUUUGAAUUAAAACAAUAGUUAUCCCAUGCUCCAAGCAUUCACACUAUGUUUAUCUAUGGUAAGUGUAAGAAUACCAAAUUCUUGUUAUUGCUAGAAUGUGUUAGAUUAUAAACUAUCAUGCAAUAUAACCUUUUGUAAUGUCAUGGUACUAAAGGCACAAAGACUAUGCCAAUGAUAUUACAAAGUAUUCCCUUUGGACAUUAGUUACUAGACCCAUUCCAUGGAAGCAAAGUCUCAAAUUCAAAGUACAUUUCUUUGAACAUCCUUCUCGCAUAAAAGUUUCUAACCUACACAUAGAUUGUCAAUAUCCAACUCCCAAUAUGGAAACAUUUCCAUAUUUGCCAUAUGACAAUUUACUCUUAACAGAAUCCUAUCUAUUUAGAAUCAUGUCAGCAUGGUCCACUUAUUACUAUACUUCCAAUUGCCCACAAGCGACCAAUCCUUAGCGAACCUUAGAAUGUCCUUGACAGUUGUUUCACCACUUUAGUCAUAUCCGUUUCUAGUCCUUUACCCUAUUAAUGCCCUAGGCAUUUAGAAAAUUAGAGCAAGUUAAUAUUAUAGCAUAUGCAAUUGAUCCUAUACCCGAAGCAUAUGCGAUACGAUUCAUAAUGUCUUAUAUAAAGACAUGAUACUUGACAAUUCUUUUGCUAUAAUAUUUUCGUACAUAUAAUUUUCAAUGUUGAAGCAUUGCAACAUGGUAUUCAUAUAUAUCCUUGACUAAAUUUGAUUAAAAUCGCAAUAUAAGCUUUUAUAUUUGAAAUGAAGUAUGAGUUCCUCUCCCUUAAUUAUAGUGAAACAAAUUUUCAACCUCUACAAUUUUGCGAAUUGAAACUUUUGUUUUCUAUAGUUAACAUUGCUAACUCGCAACACUUAAUGUAAUAAUUGUGCUCCACUAGCAUAAUAAUUACAUUCUUAUUAGCAUAUUACUUAUGCUCCCACUAGCUUUUACAUGCAUUCAGAAAUCAGUUGGACUUCUAGAAAUCAAUACUUAUUGACUUUCUUUCCAAAGUUCAGAUUUUUGAUACUAGAUGCUUCAAUAAGCCUUUAACUUAGCUCAUACACCUUUUAUAAGAAAGCUCAUAUGUGUGUUUAAACUAUUUCAGAACUUACAUCAAUAAGUUCCGAAUGAUCAAACUAUUUGCCAUUUCUCACAAUUUGAAUAUGAAGAGGGAUGUCGUAAUCAUAAUCAAAUUUGAGAAUGCAAUUGACACAAAUGCUAUCUCCAUAAAAUCUACUUAGUGAAAGCAUUUCCUCACAAUCAUUUUCAUGAAUUGGAUAGAAACCUUAUGUCACUUAGAUUUUCUGGUGUAUGUGUUCCUAUCCAUGUGAAUUUGUCAUUAUCAUAAUCAAGGUCUAUGAAAAAUUUAAACUCAUGCGGACUAAACUUGUUCAAUCUUAAUUUCUUGCCACUUGGCAGCAUAAGGGCCUACCAUGUCUUCCAAGUUGUUGAGUAGCUCACCCUUAUUGAUCAAUGAACCUUCAUUGAUCAAGGUGCUUUGCCUUAUGCAAAAAUUGAGAACUCAUAGAACUCACAUGGGUAGUCAACAUAACUAGAAAGGGCACAGAAACAAGAAUAUGUCAACACGAUAGGUAACGAAACUAAAUUUGUGUGCUAGUGAUAAACCAUACGUUUUAUUAUUGAUUAGUUCUUGAAGCUUUUCAAGAUCUUUAAGAUUCCCACUAAACUCUUGACAUAUAAGAUCCCUUUGUCAAGAAUAAUUUCUUGACAAACAAAUAUUCAAGAGUUAGUGCGGUUUCUUAUCAAGAAUGACACUUCAUAUAAUUGGUCAUAGUUGGUCUUUGUCUCAAAGACAUCACAACUACCAAUUCUAAAUGUGUUAUAUACCUACUUAAGAUAUGUCACUCAAGUCACAAUCUUGGAGUAUGACUCAAAGACUUGAUAUUCGAACAAAGUCUGACUCACCUUUUGAUUUAACCAUUUCAACAAUUCACAGUUCCUCUUCUUAGCCAUAAAAAUGCAUUAAGGUGUCCUUAGAGGAUCAAUUGUGAUAUGCUUUUCAUAAUCUUUAAGAUGAUCAUAAAACACAAUACCAAGUUACUCUCCUUUCCUCUGCAGAUUAGAGAAUCUUUUAAUCUUUCUGCCUAAUUGAUUCUUCAGAUAUAUUAUGCUAUACAUUGAAACUUUUUCAAUGAUUCAAAAUUGCACUUAAUCUUGUAAGUAUAACCAUUUUUACUAAAAUUUUAGUAAAUCAUGACGAUUAGUCUUAUUGUUCUUUGUGGUGGACUUGAGCAACGCAGAACCAAGUGUACCUGAUCCCCUAGUGCUUCAUUUGACUCACAUAUACAUGUGAACAAGGAAUUAGUCUUAAUUUCCCAAAGACAAAGGUUCUCAUUCAUCACACAAUACAAGUUGCAUGAUUCCAAGUUUCUGUCCAAAUGAAACUUGGUGAUGAGAAUAUUUCCUUAUUUAGUAAAUUUAGACAUUACCACAAACGAAAGAAUCAAAUCCAUUUUCCAAUACUGCUAACAAUAGAAAUAUACAAACAUAAAUUUUCACAAAUGCCAUUGCAAGGAUAAAUAUAAAAUAAGACAAAAAUUAAAAAUUUUCUUUAUUUAUAAAACACGGAAAACUUGUCCUUACAACGCAAUUACAAAUGAAAACAAUGUUACUAAAUAUUUCUAAGCAAUCUAUGAUAACUCCUAAGUAGCAGCUCAAAAUCUGAUCAUCGAACCAUGCGAUCGAAAUUCAUCUCUCCACAAUCAGACUCUUCUUACUCUUCCUUUCUUUUCAUCGAUCCUACAAGACAUCAAAAUGUAAUCUUAUCACAUAAUGUAUUAAGAAUCUACAAACAGGAACAUAAUAGAGUUAGAUACUGGACUUACCUUGUAACGCCCCGGGUUUUCUCGGCACGUUUGGUUAUUUUAAUUUAAUUAUCCUUGUAACCUUGGGUUAAUUUAUUUAACCAAUGCCUAAUUUUUAUGUUAUUGGACUCUUUUUAUCAUCUUGUAAACUCCUUUUAUUGAAGUCCAUGGACUAUGGGCCUAUUUGUAAAGUCCAUCUAGUAAAUAGUACUUAAUGUGUAAAUUGAAUCAUUUGGAACACACACAAGGAAAACACUCUAAACCCUACCUCUCUCUCAAAAAUCGUCCCUCUCUCUCUCUCUCUUUGGGAUCAAGAGCAGCCAAGGGGCUGUUUGGAGCUUAAUUCUUGUUCAUUUCCAGCCUUGAUUCGUAUUGGUAUGAACCUCCUUAUCCUUUCUUACAACUUGAUUCAUAACCUUGUUCUAGUUUUACGAUUUCAUCUUCACUUCUUCUCCUUCUUAUUUUAUUUGUAAUUGUAUGUUAUACAUCAUCUCAAGAUCCUAUCUUCACCCCAUAUAUGGUGGAUGAUGGAUCUAGGGGAUUACAUGUGGCAAAAGAUCAUGGAAACCCUAAAAGGGAGAAUGAUGAUUUUAUGUGCUUAUGUUUAUUUUCAUGUUGAUUAUUAUUACAUCCUUGAGGCUAAAUGAAAUCCUAAUGAUCCCUAACCCUUUUUAGUACCACCAUUAUCAUGGGGACUGAAUUGGGAUGAUGAACACAUCUUAAAAUGUGUUUCAAAAGGAGAAGGAUGGAUAAGCCAAAAAGGAAUCACGGGUGGCUACGAUUCUGUUUUCCAUCAGAUCUGUAGUCAUUUUGUAAAAAUCAUAUCUGGAGCUCUAGAACUCAAACGGACCCCAAACCAGUUCCAAAAGUUCACAAAUUGAGUUGGCUAACUUUCUUAAGAAGGCCAACCUCACUGAUAAGGGCUUUAUCUAUGUGAAAGAAUGGCAUCUUUGCUGUUAGGUCUGAUCCGGGUCUGUUCUGAUAUGUCAUUUUGUUUUCAUCAUUUCUAAGGCUUGGAAAAGGAUCCAGAGUGAUUCCAAGUUUCUAUAUGUUCCUUAUAUUAUGAAUUUAAGAUCUGGAGAAUAUGGGGUGUUAUUUCCAAUUAUAAAUUGGUUAGAAUGGAUCCACACUCCAGGUCAGUGGGCAGUCACCAGCUUUUGCUAGUGCUGUGAUUGUCCACAAUGUGAAUUUUAUAUCUGGAGUUUGAGAGAUGCUUUUCAUUCAAUUCCAACUCUGAGACUUUCACUUGUAUGUCCUUUACUUCUCUUAAUUUUCUUUUGGACGAAUUCUACUCACAAGUUGGGUAGAAUUGGCCAACAUCACUUGACUGUAUUGUUGGAGACAGAAGUGAUACACCAUUUUGUAAAAUUCAUAUUUAAUUCAUCUUUUGGAGUUAGAAUGAGUUCUUUAUAGUUAUGGAAUCCUGAGCAAUCAUAGUUUCCUAUAAAAUUUAGUUAAANNNNNNNNNNNNNNNNNNNNNNNNNNNNNNNNNNNNNNNNNNNNNNNNNNNNNNNNNNNNNNNNNNNNNNNNNNNNNNNNNNNNNNNNNNNNNNNNNNNNNNNNNNNNNNNNNNNNNNNNNNNNNNNNNNNNNNNNNNNNNNNNNNNNNNNNNNNNNNNNNNNNNNNNNNNNNNNNNNNNNNNNNNNNNNNNNNNNNNNNNNNNNNNNNNNNNNNNNNNNNNNNNNNNNNNNNNNNNNNNNNNNNNNNNNNNNNNNNNNNNNNNNNNNNNNNNNNNNNNNNNNNNNNNNNNNNNNNNNNNNNNNNNNNNNNNNNNNNNNNNNNNNNNNNNNNNNNNNNNNNNNNNNNNNNNNNNNNNNNNNNNNNNNNNNNNNNNNNNNNNNNNNNNNNNNNNNNNNNNNNNNNNNNNNNNNNNNNNNNNNNNNNNNNNNNNNNNNNNNNNNNNNNNNNNNNNNNNNNNNNNNNNNNNNNNNNNNNNNNNNNNNNNNNNNNNNNNNNNNNNNNNNNNNNNNNNNNNNNNNNNNNNNACGGUAUUAAGGUCGAUCAAGCCAAGGUUAAUGCGGUUAAACAAUGGAAGAUUCCAAAAACACCUUCUGAAAUUCGCAGUUUCUUGGGUUUAGCCGGUUAUUACCGGAGGUUCAUUGAAAAUUUCUCUAAAAUCGCCUUACCACUCACCCGAUUGACCAAGAAAUCAAUGAAAUUCGUUUGGGGCCCGGAGCAGCAACUGGCGUUUGAUGAGUUAAGGAAACGAUUGUGUGAAGCUCCGAUUUUGGCCUUACCUGAUGGGGUUGAGGAUAUGGUGGUUUACUGUGAUGCAUCGCUUCAAGGUCUUGGUGCCGUGUUAAUGCAACGAGAUAGGGUGAUAGCCUAUGCCUCCCGACAGCUGAAACCCCACGAACGAAACUACCCCACUCAUGAUUUGGAGCUUGGGGCUGUUGUUUUCGCUCUUAAGAUUUGGAGACACUAUCUCUAUGGAGUGAAGUUUAUCAUAUACACUGACCAUAAGAGUCUAAAAUAUUUGUUCGAGCAGCGGGAUUUGAAUAUGAGGCAGAUCCGAUGGUUAGAUGUGGUAAAAGAUUAUGAUUGUGAAAUUCACUACCACCCCGGUAAAGCUAAUGUGGUAGCUGAUGCUCUUAGUCGUAAACAAUCUGCCGAACCAAUUCGAGCUAAGUGUCUCCGGAUCACGAUGGUGUCGUCUUUGUUAGAUCUAAUCCGGGACGCCCAAAAGACGGCAAUACUGGAGGAAAACAUCAGGCGUGAGAAGAUUGGGAAAGAGUUGCCUAAGAUGGAACGAGACGGGCGGGGUUUGCUGACUCGCUACGGUAGGAUUUGGGUUCCAUAUACCGGGGGAAAUCGGAAAACCCUAAUGGAUGAGUCUCAUAAGUCAAAAUUUUCUAUCCAUCCUGGUGCUACUAAAAUGUAUCGGGACCUUCAUGAGGCUUACUGGUGGCAUGGAAUGAAGAAUGAUGUGGCUCGAUUUGUGGAAGAAUGUAUGACCUGUCGGAAGGUCAAGGCGGAACACCAGAAACCGCAUGGGAAGUUGCAACCAUUGGAGAUUCCUGAAUGGAAAUGGGAGCAUCUAACCAUGGACUUCAUUACAAAACUUCCUAGAACUGCCCGAGGAUCAGAUACGAUAUGGGUGAUUGUUGAUCGUUUGACUAAGAGUGCUCACUUUCUGGCUAUAAAGGAGAGCUCAUCGGCGGAGAAAUUAGCCGAGAUCUUUGUUCGGGAGAUUGUCUCAUUACAUGGGGUGCCCGUUUCUAUCAUCUCCGAUCGAGACACCCGAUUUACCUCUCGGUUCUGGAGGAAGUUUCAAGAGGAAUUGGGCACACGAUUACAUUUUAGUACCGCCUUCCAUCCGCAGACAGACGGGCAGAGUGAGCGGACGAUUCAGACCUUGGAGGACAUGCUUAGGGCGUGUGCGAUUGAUUUUGGGGGUAGUUGGGAUGACCAUCUACAUCUAGCUGAGUUUUCUUAUAACAACAGCUAUCACUCGAGCAUUAAAAUGCCUCCGUAUGAAGCCUUGUACGGGAGGAAGUGCAGGACGCCCGUUUGUUGGGGCGAGGUUGGGCAGAGGGUACUUGGGAGUACCGAUAUCGUGCUACAGACUACGGAGAAAAUCCAAGUGAUUCGGGAUCAUUUGGUCACAGCGAGCAGUCGUCAGAAAAGUUAUGCUGACAAAAGACGCUCCAAUCUUGAGUUCCAGGUGGGAGAUUAUGUGUUGCUUAAAGUCUCCCCCUGGAAAGGUGUGAUUCGAUUUCGGAAGCGGGGAAAGCUCGGACCCCGAUUCAUUGGACCCUACAAGGUCAUAGCUCGUGUGGGGAAGGUGGCUUACCGUUUAGAGCUUCCUGACGAGCUUAGUCUAAUUCAUAAUACGUUCCACGUAUCUCAGUUAUGAAAAUGCGUUGUUGAUGAGACUGCUGUGAUACCAUUGGAGGACAUACAGAUUGACGAGCGUCUCAAUUAUAUUGAGAAACCAGUUGCUAUUCUAGAACGAAAGACGAAAGCUCUCCGCAACAAGACUAUAAACCUGGUUAAGGUGCAGUGGCAACAUAGGAAGGGUUCGGAAUGGACUUGGGAACCGGAAUGCAAGAUGCGGGCUCAUUAUCCGGAUCUGUUUCUAGGUGUUGACUUCGAGGACGAAGUCCGUUCUUAGUGGGGGAGAGUUGUAACGCCCCGGGUUUUCUCGGUACGUUUGGUUAUUUUAAUUUAAUUAUCCUUGUAACCUUGGGUUAAUUUAUUUAACCAAUGUCUGAUUUCUUAUGUUAUUGGACUCUUUUGAUCAUCUUGUAAACUCCUUUUAUUGAAGUCCAUGGGCUAUGGGCCUAUUUGCAAAGUCCAUCUAGUAAAUAGUACUUAAUGUGUAAAUUGAAUCAUUUGGAACACACACAAGGAAAACACUCUAAACCCUCCCUCUCUCUCAAAAAUCGUCCCUCUCUCUCUCUUUGGGAUCAAGAGCAGCCAAGGGGCUGUUUGGAGCUUAAUUCUUGUUCAUUUCCAGCCUUGAUUCGUAUUGGUAUGAACCUCCUUAUCCUUUCUUACAACUUGAUUCAUAACCUUGUUCUAGUUUUAUGAUUUCAUCUUCACCUCUUCUCCUUCUUAUUUUAUUUGUAAUUGUAUGUUAUACAUCAUCUCAAGAUCCUAUCUUCACCCCAUAUAUGGUGGAUGAUGGAUCUAGGGGAUUACAUGUGGCAAAAGAUCAUGGAAACCCUAAAAGGGAGAAUGAUGAUUUUAUGUGCUUAUGUUUAUUUUCAUGUUGAUUAUUAUUACAUCCUUGUGGCUAAAUGAAAUCCUAAUGAUCCCUAACCCUUUUUAGUACCACCAUUAUCAUGGGGACUGAAUUGGGAUGAUGAACACAUCUUAAAAUGUGUUUCAAAAGGAGAAGGAUGGAUAAGCCAAAAAGGAAUCACGGGUGGCUACGAUUCUGUUUUCCAUCAGAUCUGUAGUCAUUUUGUAAAAAUCAUAUCUGGAGCUCUAGAACUCAAACGGACCCCAAACCAGUUCCAAAAGUUCACAAAUUGAGUUGGCUAACUUUCUUAAGAAGGCCAACCUCACUGAUAAGGGCUUUAUCUAUGUGAAAGAAUGGCAUCUUUGCUGUUAGGUCUGAUCCGGGUCUGUUCUGAUAUGUCAUUUUGUUUUCAUCAUUUCUAAGGCUUGGAAAAGGAUCCAGAGUGAUUCCAAGUUUCUAUAUGUUCCUUAUAUUAUGAAUUUAAGAUCUGGAGAAUAUGGGGUGUUAUUUCCAAUUAUAAAUUGGUUAGAAUGGAUCCACACUCCAGGUCAGUGGGCAGUCACCAGCUUUUGCUAGUGCUGUGAUUGUCCACAAUGUGAAUUUUAUAUCUGGAGUUUGAGAGAUGCUUUUCAUUCAAUUCCAACUCUGAGACUUUCACUUGUAUGUCCUUUACUUCUCUUAAUUUUCUUUUGGACGAAUUCUACUCACAAGUUGGGUAGAAUUGGCCAACAUCACUUGACUGUAUUGUUGGAGACAGAAGUGAUACACCAUUUUGUAAAAUUCAUAUUUAAUUCAUCUUUUGGAGUUAGAAUGAGUUCUUUAUAGUUAUGGAAUCCUGAGCAAUCAUAGUUUCCUAUAAAAUUUAGUUAAAGCUAUGUUUCUGUUUUAGAUUUUGGAGUAAAUCCGUUUUGAACAGCAGGUCUGUUUUAGAGACCUUGCUGUGAUUACUCUUUUCUCAACUCAUAGCUUCAUUACUUCUCGUUUCUAACCUUUAGUCCUUCUUAGGCGAGGUUUUGAAGUUUGCUCAAGCUUGGUAGCAUUAUUUGAUUGUUAGCCAUCCUUAAUACUCACUCAAGGUGAGUUCUCUCACACCGUUGUAUUGAUGAUUGUGUUUGCUAGUUAGCUCGUGUGUGAUUAUUUGAAUUUAUUAUGAAAGCAUGCUAUAUAAGUAUUGUUUUAAUUCGUACAUGUGCACUGUAUGUAACUAAUUAUGGAUAUGGGGACACCACCAAAGGAUACGGAUUUACCGGUGCGGUGGGUAGGUAAGAUCACCAACGUAAUACUCUUCGUGAGGUGCGGUGAUUAGGGCCAAAUGAUACGGGAUCUUCCCGGUGCGGUUCAAACCUACAAGUCCUUCUCGUAAUAUAGACAUUGAUUCGUUCUUUGUCUUUAUCAUUACAAUUGGAAAAUGGAUUAGGGCUAGUAAAUAUGAAUGUUAGUACAAUGUUUGUGUUUGAAUUCACUAAGCUUCGUGCUUACGUUUUUCCCUUAUAACUUUUCAGGUGUUAAGAUUAAAGAGGCUAAGGCUUGACAUGGAGCAUCGGGACAUCGCUACUAGUUAUUUUGUUGGGACCUUAUUAUUAUUAUUGCUUCCGCACUUAUUUUAUAUGAUUAUUAAGUUGAUGGAUUAUGUUAUGACUAUUUCAGUUGUUUUAAUUUAAUUUAAGAUGGGUUUUAAAAGUUAAAAAUUUAUGCAAAAAAAAAUUGGGUGUCACAUACCUGAAGUAGAGUCAAACAUUUUGACUUUACCAUCCUUGUGGUCCUUCAGGUAAUCAGGGCAGCUUUGUUUCCAAUACCCCUUCUCUUGGAAAUAGAAGCAAACGGACUCUUUCAGAAUGGUACAUGGGACAAUCUAAGACAUAGCCUUUCCCUUUCCCUUGGAAAGAGAAAUCUUUUCUGGACUUCCAAUGUUUCCAUUGACAUUGUCAAUGGAAGUUUGGGGGGUAGAUCUUCCAAUCAGGUUGGCUUUACCAGUGCACAAAAUCAUUGUUGAUUCAGCAGCAAUAAGCAAAUAGGUAAGAUUGAUAAGGGUCAUGCCAUGGUCUACCAUAUAGCAGUCCUUAAUAAACUCACUGUAUGACUUAGGAAGUGAUUGAAGAACCAAGUCAACAGCCAACUUCCAUGGGAACACGACACCCAACAUUCCCAGCUUGUCAAUAUGCAGCUUCAUGUCCAAGACAUGAGCACAUACAUACUUUCCAUCUUCAUGUUUGUGAGCCAAUAGGGCUUGAGUGACCUUGAACUUUUCAAGUCAUUGAACUUGUGGGUUAGGUAGAAUUAUUGGAGGAGGUGGAGGAAGUGAAGUAUGAUUUCUAGGAACAUCAUCUUCUUGAGGAAGGCUUUUUCCAAAAGAUUCGGGAAGACCAUAGAUGUCUGUACUAGACAUCUACAAGGGAGAAAUUCAAGUUUAGUUGAUUUAAGACCUUAAUAUAAAACCCAAAUGAAAUAAUAAGGCUAGGACCCAACACAAUAAUUUACAGUAUGGAAGAGGGAUGCCGUAAUCCAAUUGCAAAUUAUGUGAAGGUAGGUAAGUGGCGAUUUACCAAUUUACACCAUGAAAAACGACAAUGAAUUUUAGGUUUUAAAUGAAUUGAAAUUCCUACAUUCUUUGAGAUUCAUUGAACUUUUCAAUGGCAUGUUUAAUCUCGAUUAUGCCCUCUCAAGUUUGUGACUGGGAUGCCGAGGAUCACAAACAAGGUGUGAAUAACCAUGCAAACGUGAUUGGUACACUUAAUGUUAAAAAUCACCUAAUCAAUGUGUUGGUUAACCACACACACUCGAUUGAUCCAUGAUUAACAUCAAGCUACCAUUUUCCAUCCUUGCUAGUCCUAAAUUAGUGUGUCGGUUAAACGCACAUGCUCCAUUAAUAACUUAGCAACGUUCAAAGUGCAAUUUUAUGGGUUAGCACCAAAUUCAUAUUUUUUCCUAAAGUAACUAAGAUUGGGAAUUUAUAAAAUUUUAGUGACUUUAUAUUUCAUUAUACUUUUAAUGGGGAUUUAAAUGUCCUGUCAAACUCGUUUGGCUAACAACCCUCCACCAGUCAAGAAAGCGGUGGGUGAGAGUGGACACCCAUUAAACCACCAUUUUAUAGGCAGUAACCUUAUACCCCCUUAUAGACCGGCUUCGUGAAUGAGACAUACUAACGGUAAGACUGACCUUUAACUUAUACAUAUAUAAUAUAUUAUACUUUUAAUUCUAUAUAGUAUAAAGGUGUAUUUGAAACUUUUAAAAUACUUGGUGGUUUAAUCUAUUAAUAAAUUAUACUCUUAAUUUAAUUAAACUUAAACCAUACGAUUAUGGAUUUAAUAAUACUCUUUUAAGUAAACAUUUAAUUAAUUAUUAAUAAAAUCCAUAAGAGUUAAUUCAAUUAUUCAAAACAUCAAGAUGCUAAAUCAAAUUAAAACUAUUUAAUUAAUUUUAAGUUAUGAACCCAUGGGUUACAUUUUUGAAAACUUUUUAGAUUACUAGGGUUUCUAUGAAUUCAAUGUUUCUUAAUUGAAACUUUUCAACUUUUAAAACAUGAGGGCAAGUUUUGUAAUUCUUGAAAACUUUUGAACUCCAUAACUUAAGGAGUUAAUUUGUUUUAUGAAGAUAAGACUUUUCAAGUUCCAUAAAUUAUGGAACUCUUCAAAAACAUUUAGAUCAAUUUAGCUAAUAUUUAUUUGUAACUCCUUAAAAACAUUUAGAUCAAAUUAUAACCUUAUAAAAUAACAAUUUUUAUCUUUUACCAAUUUAAUCAUAAUACAAUUCUUGUAGUAAGAUAAUUUCAAAUAAAAAAAUGAAAAUAAUUAGCUUUAUCAUAUAAACUAGUAAUUAUCUUAAAAUUUGACAAUUUAUCUUUUAACUGGAUGAGAAUAAUCACUACAAUAUCAGAAAAACAGAUUUUUUAUGCAAAAUAGUUUGUGAUAAUGAUUCUAAUCCAAUUGAGGCCAAAAAAAACCCGAAAAACUUCGAACAGAUGAUCUAACUCGUCGAUUUGGAUAAUGGACUCGAUGAGUUCAUCACUUAUGAUCAUAGACUCGACGAGUUCAUGUAUGGACUCGUUGAGUCCUCCUAUCAAUGUCCAAUUUUUCGACUUUCCAACUUUGAACAAUUAGUUAUGCAUCUAUAUAACAGAAAACUACCCAUGGCUCUGAUACUACUGUUGGGUUUUAUGUACUAUAACACUCCUAUGGUACACAUACAACCCUAAUAGCUUUAUAUCUAAGUUUUCUCUAGUUAUACAUGCAACAAAAUUUUCCACAGCUAGAAACCUACAACUAGCAUACAAUUUGACAUAUGAAUCAUAAAAAUAAGUUAGAAGAUUACCUCUUUGUUGUAGCUUGUAGGCAUUGGUCUUUCAAGAGCCUUGCGCUUCAAGUGUGAUGCCUCAAAUGUCUUAUAACAAACCAAGAACAAGAGGAGGAAUAUGAGAGAGAAGUUGGAGACUCAAAAUCGGCUAGAGCUUCUAAGAACACUUAGUGCACGAUUUUGUCUUUAGAGGAAUACAUAUAUAGUGUAGAAUUCCAAGAGUCAUAAGCAAACCCUAAUUCUUACACUUAGGCUUAUGAUCCAUAAUUCAUAUGGACUAAUAUUUCAUGUACUUUCACACAAUCUUAGUCCAUCAUGGAUCAAUAGCCCAAAACAUAUGUAUCACUGAUUUACACAAUCAAUCUCUGUUAAUUUAAUUAGUCUCUUUUGAUCACUAAAUUAGUUCCAAAUUCAUUCUUGAUUAAUACUAAUUAAAUAAUAUGAUUUGUCAAUUAAUAUAUUAUACUUAUAAUAUAUUAAUAAAUCACAAAUAACCACUUUCUCAAAUAUUCAUCCUAUCAAAUUGUUCCAGAGUGUUACAACCUAAAUGGACCAUGUUGUAUCGGGUCAAGUAAAUACCAAUUAUAGUUAUGGGCUUAGACACAUAAUACAACAACUAAUGGACAAUUUACACGAAUGAUACAAAGAUUUCCUAGUCUAAUAUACCCCCUGAAUCUAAGGAGGAGGAGGACGGAUGCUUAGUCUAGAUCUAAAUUCGUUAAAUAACACUUGUGAUAAUCCUUUAGUGAAAAUGUCAGGCAGUUGGUAGUAUGAUGGAAUAGUCAAAACACGCAUAUGACCCUGUUGGACCUUCUCACGGACAAAAUGAAUGUCAAUCUUGAUAUGUUUAGUUCGCUGAUGUUGAAUUGGGUUAUCAGACAUGUAAAUAACACUCACAUUAUCGCCAUAAACUAUGGACCUACGAGUGGGAGGUUUCCCUAGUUCCAAAAGAAGGUUUCAUAUCUAACAAAUUCUUGCAACAACAUUAGCCACACCCCUGUAUUUGGCCUCUACACUGGAUCUGGAAAUGGUAGUUUUUUGUUUUGAUGAUCAUGAUAGAUAGUUGCCACCAAGGAAAAUGCAAUAGCCUGAAGUCAAUUUACGAGUGUCUAGGCAACCAACCCAAUCAACAUUAGUGUAGACGACGGGAGUGGUGGGAAUAGAAGCUCGCAUGUAGAUUCCCAUGGUGAGUGUGCCUAUGAUAUAUGGUAUAAUAUGUUUAAGGGCAUGAAGAUGAAUCGUUUGUAGGGAAUGCAUGUGCAUUCAUAUCUGUUGUAUUACAUAAGAGAUAUCUGGAUGGGUGAAUGUUAGGUAUUGUAAAGUUCAUGCAAGGUUGAGAUAGGUAGUGGGAUCAUCCAUAAGGUCACCGUCCAAGUUACUAAGCUUUCCUGAUGUGUCAACCAGAGUUUGGACCGGAUUUUAUUGAGUCAUAUUUUCACGUGAAAGAAUAUUGAGAACUUAUUUUUGUUGUGAUAAAAACAUGUCAGUUGUAUCACUUUUGACCGAUAUGCCAAAGAAGUAAGUGAAAGUUCGAGUUCCUUAAUAGCAAACUCAGAUAACAGACGAGUGAUAUGAGACUGUUUCAAAGUCGGUGACAAGGUAGUAAGGAUGAUUUCGUCAACAUAUAGCAAGAGAUAAGUGAAAGAUCUAGUAUGCUGAUGAGUUAUAUUAAAAUUAUAUUGCUAAAUAACGUAUGAUCCUAAGGGUCACACUAACAACAACUUGAUAAAAUUGAUUAUUUAUUAGAAAUUGAUUUCAAUAAAUAUUCUUAAACUCUUAUAAUAAUUGGGAAAAUAUUUAUUUCAAGGAAAUAAAUUAUUUUACAAUACAAGUAACACAUUAUUUCGUAGUGUAUGAAUAUAUAUGUCAUGUACAUCUUUUUGGACCUUAUAAGCCUUUUGUCUUUUAGCAAAAGACAAAGUUUAUAUCUUCUAAACUUUGAGUUUAUAAAAUACAAACUUUUGGCUUGUCUUAUCAUCAUAAAAACGUGAAUAAGAGAGAGGAGCAAAGAGAUAGGGAAACAUUCUCAUGACAUAUGGGACAAGGUUUUCUAAAGUGCUUAAUGGUUCAUGUCACACCCCAAAACCAAGAACGGCAGAAACGUUCUGGGGCGGAGGACGACAUGUAUAAUAUCAACAACAAUGUAAAGUAGUAAACAAGCAACAACAUCAUCCAUUGCAUUAAUAAUAUAAUUAUUAUACAAAUGUGUUCUGUCAAAUUUUGAUAAACACUAAAGCAUAAAUCAAAAUGAAAGAAAAGUCUUGAACAAGCUCCAUCUUCCUUUCUCCUUGCAUCGGUACCUGUCUAUGAUGACCUGAGGAUACAAGUAAUUUUGAAAGCGAGUAUCAGCUUUGAAGCUGGUGAGAUCAUAAGUAUUUAGUGUCUUAAUUUGUAUGUAAGUAUUUGUAUGUAAGAAUUUGUAAAUCUAUGUAUUGUAAGUAUUUAAAGUGUAUAUGAACUGUAAGUGUUUGAAAAACCCUAGAAUCCCUAUGAUUCCUACUAGUAUAAGAAGGUGUCUUCUACCAAGACCUAACUGCUCUGUAUGUGUGUCUCUUGUAAGCGUAUGUAUUUUCCAAAGUAUAACUAUCAUUAUCCAAAAAUAUAGUUUCUACAUUUCCGUGCGUCGUGUGAAUGUUCACGAGGUGAAUGUAAUGGGAAAAAGAAAUAGUACUAUGGUGUAGUGCUAUAAGAACUACUGCCGUACUAACUACCUUAAAUCGGAUAUAUAUUAAGGCAUUAUGUGAUAAAUUGUAGCAUACUAUCGACUGGUAACAAUGACAUAAGAAUGGUCGUAAUAAGGAAUGACGUUUGGCACCCACAGACCUGCAGGUCCAACUGUAGCUAGCAGCAAGGUGUAGGAUAGUCAAUCCAGUAUAGAUCUAUACACAAACUCAUACUAUAGACUGGUUACAACGACAAAGUAUAGUCGAAAAUAAGGUAUGACGUUUGGCACCCGCAGACCUGCAGGUCCCACUGUAGCUAGCAUCAAGGUGUAGGAUAGUCAAUCCAUUAUAGAUCUAUACGCAAACUCACGCUCUCCCUUCAAGAGACUCUGGCUACAACUCGGGCCAUGACAUUUAAGUCAUGCUCCGAUUUAAAUCACUAUUAUUAACGUAUUCUUGUAUAUGUAAUGUAAUGAACUGUUCUAGCUGUAAUGUACGUGCUCUCUACCUAGCAAGUAUAGUAAUGUAAUCAUUCUUGUAUAGUUGUAUAUGUUCUCUUCCUAGUAUAGUUGUAUAUGUUAUGUACUGUACUAUUCUAGAAAGUAUUCACUCAUGAAUGAACAGACUCAUUGUAUGAUAUCACGUUCUAGUAAUUGUUCUAGUAUCUUCCUAAACUACCCAUAUGGUAGUUUACUAGUAAUCUAAUUGGUAUGUAUGGUCAUGGAUGUAUACCCUUGCUACCCAAGGGCAUGGGAUGAACUGGAAGGACCUUUUAUGACUAUAUAUGUACACAUGAUAUAUAACUAAUAUUUAAACGACCUUCGGACGAGUACCCGAUAUCCCACCAGACCACAUCUCAAGCGCGAAAAGGAAAUAGGGUGGAUAGCCUUCCUAAGUCUUUUAAACAUUUCUUAUAUAACUAUACAUAUAGAGGCAUGCAAUUUAUAAUAUAAAAGCAUAAAUAAGUUUUUAAAGACAUUUGAAACAUAAAUAUUAUUUUAAGAAAAGAUCGACUUGAUGUCAAUCUAUAAAACAAUUUGAAGGCAUAAGUUUGAUAAAACAGUUUAAGUAUAAGGAAACAUUUGUUUGAAACACAGUUGUAAAUAAGUUUGAAAGGUAAUGUACAGAGUAAGAUGUACAGUGUAAUAAGUAGUUUAAAACAUAUAAAAUGUUUAUAAAAAUCAUUUGAAGGAAACCGUUUGGUAAAACGGCUAAUGAGUAGCCAAAUCCUUUGAAUGUUGUAUAUUAAUCACAUGUGAUUGAUAUAAUGACUAGCAUAAUUCUACUUAUUAAUCGCAUGUGAUUGAUAUAAUAACUAGCAUAAUUAUACUUGUAUCCCCCCCCCAUAAAACAUUUAAAAAUAGUUUAAAACAUUAUUUAAGGGGUAUGAACUCACCUGCAGUAAGUGACUGCAAUUGAACGGGCUGUUAUCGUAAGGAAGGAUCGGGCAAGUGUUUGGUGUCAAGUGAAGACUUAGACACACACAAUGAUCCUAAUUUCAUAUGAAAGCAUAUGUAUAUAAGUAAUAAGUGAUAAAAACACUAAUUAUACAAGUAUAAACAUUUAAGCUGGAGGAAAACACUUUUGGUCAAGUGCUAGGAAGCUAAUGGGUUGCAACAAAAGAGUGCAAAGCCCCAAAUGGGAGUUUACGGUCUAAUGACCAUAUUCAUUGGAGUUUACGGCCCAGGGGAGUAAACUCCUGGCCGUAAACUCUCAACCAAAGCUCUAAAUGAUGCUUAAAAUUAUUACAACUCUAGUGGUGAAUUGUUUCAAAGCUAUAACAAGUGUUUGGGUACCAUAUUAACUCCUUUGGGGAGUUUACGGCCCAGAGACCAUAUUCCCUUGGACUUUACGGCCGUAAACUCCCUUGGGAGGGUUUUUAUGGUGUUUUCAAGUCUCUAAAUUAACUAGGAACUAAACUAGGCUUUUGUACUUGGCUUUAGAAGAGUUUAUGGCACCAUUUGGCACCAUUUUAUGGAGUUUACGGCCCUAGAACCUUUUGGGCCGUAAACUCCCUCACUCUUGGUGUUCUAAGUGUUUUAACUAGUCCAAAACUCAUUUAGGUACAUGCCCAAAUUGGUCUCUUGGCUUAAGGAAGGAGUUAGGGUGUCAUUUGACCCCUUUAUAGGUGUUUACGGCCCAAGAACUACUCUUGGCCGUAAACUCCUCAACACUUGUGCUUCCUUAUGUUUUCUAGGUUCUAAACACUUUAGGGUACAUGUCUAUAAUAAAGUCUAAGCCUUAGGUGCCUUAAAAGCACCAUUUGAGCAAGUUACAAGGGAGUUUACGGCCUAAGCUAUUCUUGGGCCGUGAACUCCUAACUUGGGUGGUUCUUGGUUGAUUUCUUGUCCCUAACACACUCCUAUACAAGUCCAAGGUAGUUACUAAUCACGGGGGACAAUCUAGGCUUGGUUUCGGGAGUUUACCGCCCAAGAACACCUUGGGGAGUAAACUCCUAAAUCGGAUGAUUUAGCUAUGUAAUCUAUGUUAUGAACACAUUUAAAGCUUUCUAACACUACUAGAAAGAGUUACUCACAAUUUGGGAUAAAAACCCGAAGAUCCGUGAGAGAGAAUUUGGCUUUUCUCUAAUUAGAAUUCAACUAAUGAACCAAUUUGGUUCAGAAUUCUAUUUAUAGUCCUGAGAUUUUUGGCAGAAAAUAUUUUUAUUCUCGGAAUGAACUCUAAUGUCCUAGAGUAUUGGAAUUACAGUGUUGCACAAAACCCUAGUGCAUCCACUCUCCUAAUAUUUCCUUAGGUGUAAAAUCCUGAAAACUGCCAAACUUGUACUCGAAAUCUGAGUUUUCACUGUAACUGCUCUACUUCUAUUGGCUUGGAAUGGUUUGUUCAGAAUGGAAAUUUCGGGUUGUCACAGUUAAUGACUCUUGGACCAUAAUUAUAUUAUAAAUAAGAGGUGAAUGCUUUCAUUUUCUUGACUCCCUCUUGCUAUUGUCGAGAGCUCUCUUCUCCACUUUCCAUAUUCUCUCAAGUCUUGUAUCUUAAAGAUAUGUGUUGCUUGCAUCCUCUCUUUAAAUCAUAAAAUUGUUUUGACUUAAAGCUUAAGACUUGUAACUAGAGUUACAUCAAGUUGGUACAUUGUUGGUGUCUCAUGGUUCUCACCACUUCUUCCUUCUAUGGUUGUGUUUUAAAAUGUUUAUGUUAUUUUAUAAAUCUAAAGUCUUCCGUUUGCCAUUAUUUGUAGUUUUUGAAACUAAGUUUUAAAUAAGACUCAACAAUUGGUAUCAGAGACACCUUGUAAGUUUGGUUAGAUUUUUUGAUUUAUGGAAAUCUUAGUUUUAGAGAAUAACUUGUUUUUUUUAUAAAACAAGUUCAUUCAUAUUUUCUUUAACAACUUUAUAAUUGUUAUUUUAUGUGACAAAACUCACAUGCAUUAUUGUCACUUAAAGUUGUCUUAGAAAAACAAAGGUUGUUUUAUGUUUAUAUAUAUUUUAGAGUGCAUAAACAAGCCUUGGACCAUUUGUGUUGUUGUUUGUGUGAUUUGGUUAAAAAUGGUUUGUAAUAUUCUUUUAUUCAUAAAGUAUGUAAUAAAAGUAAGUGGUUUUUAUUCUUGUUAAUUUUAUGUAAUAGAUUAGUUUUAGACUAUAUUUUUUUUUAAAUGUAACAAGAUAAAGAGGCCAUUUCUUGAAGAACCAUGGAGACCCACGGUUUUAUAAAGAUUUUAUAAACGUUCAUAACUUUUAUAAAAGUUUUAUAAAAUUGCAACAAAGGUGGUUGUCAUUGCAAGUGGGAGCUUGAAGAUCACAUGAAGAACAAGUUGUAAUAUUUGGUCCCUUUGUCCCUUAGGAAGGACUUAACACUUUAGAGUUGGCUCACAAAAGUGUUAUAUAGUUUAAGGUUUGUUUAUGUCAAAUGCACGCUUGCGUUGUUUAUUUUUCAAGUAAUAUUUUGUGUGGUUGACGAUUUAGUUUUUCACAAACCCCAACUAUUUUUUGGACAAAAUAAACAUCACAUGGAGUUUGGAUUUCAAAAUAUAUAAUAUGAACUUUGGAUGUAACAUACUCCAUAAAAUAAAAACCAGUUUUAUAAAAUUGCUAAUUACGGCAACUUUUGAGACAUAGAAUUAUAAGUGUAAAAAUCAUGUUUUUAUGGCUUGUUCAAACUCCAAAGUAUUAUUUAAUAAAAUGAAGUUUUAUUAAACAAUAUUAAAGGUUAUAAAUGGCUCAAACACAAACUUAAUACUAGGUAUUCAUUUUAAAAUUGAACCAAACUGAAAUAUAAAAAUCGGGUUUUUAUAAGAAUCUUAAAAAAUUAUUUUUUUUUUUUUAGAAAAUUGAUACCAUGACAUAUUGGAUUCAUGCAAUUGUGAUGAUAUCACAUGUUUUAAAUAGAAUGAUGAAACAUGCAAAUCCCUUUUUCAAAAAGCAAGUCUAUGUCAUCCAACUUUAGAAACAUCCGCACAUCACUUGUAUAAUACUAGUGGGAUAAAGGAUACCUAACCAUUACUAUCAUCUUUUGGUGGCCAAAGUAUUUUUGUAAUUUCUAUAACCAAGUUAUAGGCCAAUUAUACAAGUUUCUUUAGUUAGAUAACUUGAUUGGAAACCUCUUGUGAUAAAGGUUAUCUCAGCAAGAGUGUUCCAAGGCAUAGAUGAGACCAAUCAUGUGAAACAAACAAAUGGAUUGUUAAGGGUCUCAUAAAACUAGGAAUUACAAAUGGUGUAAUUAAUACAAGAUGUUUACCUUAUUAAAAUUGGGUAAAUGGGAUAAAGGAUACCUAACCAUUUAUUUGAUUUGUAACUUGGAUCCUAGACUUUAAAUAAAUAAUUUUUUUGGAAACAAAAGAGUAUUAUUAUUUAAAGAAUUAAAUACUAAAUGAAAACUUUGUUAAACUUUUGUAGAUGGCUCCACCUAUUACUGUAACACAUCACCCAAUGAACAUUCGGUUAAUUCUUAACAGAGAAAAACUCAACCACUCCAACUUUUUGGAUUGGCACAGAAAUUUAAGAAUCAUUUUGAAACAAGAAAAGAAAGACUAUGUCCUUGAAAACCAAACCCCUAAUGAACCACCUGUUCUCCUAAAGGCUGCACAUGAUGCAUGGCUAAAGCAUAUAGAUGAUUCACUUGAUGUUUCAUGCUUUAUGCUUGCCUCUAUGGUUCCCGAUCUUCAACGAGAUCUAGAACACUACACUGCCUUUGACAUGAUUAAACAUCUUAAGGCGAUGUUUGGUAAACAAGCUAGAACCGAAAGGUUUGACACUAUGAGAUCUCUUUAUGCCAUGAAAAUGGAGGAGAGUGGAAAUGUUAGAACACAUGUUCUCAAUAUGAAAAGUUACAUGGAUCAAUUGGAGAGAUUGGGCUCUCCAUAUCCACAAGAUUUGGAUACAGAUAUCAUUCUAAACUCUUUGCCAAAGUCUUACAAUGCUUUAAUCAUGAACUACAACAUGAAUGGGUGGGAGAAACCUAUCUCUGAGAUACACAGAAUGCUAACAACUGCAAAAUAGAAUAUCCCAUGUAAAACACCCGAAGUGCUCAUGAUUAGGUAAGGAAAAGUCAAGAAGAACAAAGGCAAGAACUUCAAGGGACAGCCACAAGCUGGCAAGGGAAAAGGGGAAAAAGCUCCUCAAAACCCACCAUCCUAGAAAAAGGAAAAGGUUGCCAAAGAUGACACAUGCUUUGAGUGUGGAGUUUUCGGGCAUUGGAAAAGGAAUUGUCCUACGUACCUUGCAGAGUUGAAGAACAAGAAGGUCGGGGAAGGCCCUUCGGUUAUAUUUAUUUUCAUGAUUGAAAUGGGAUUAUUUACUUUUUCAUCAAACACUUGGGUAUUAGAUACUGGUUGUGGAACUAAUAUUUGUAAUUCGUUACAGGGGUUCAGAAAGAGUAAGGAACUAAAGAGAAAUGAGAUAGUAUUGCAUGUGGGCAAUGGAGUACGGGUUUCAGUCCAAGCAAUAGGACAUUUUGAUUUACAUUUACCAUAUGGUCUAUACCUAACAUUAAACAAUGUGUGUUUGAUCACCUCUAUUACUAGAAAUAUUGUAUCAGUUUCCCAUUUGAGAAAAUUUGGUUAUGAUUUCAAAUUUGUUGAUGAUAACAUUCACUCCUUCUUGGAAGGAAUAUUUUAUUUUGGCGCUAGACCAAUAAAUGAAAUUUAUGAACUAAAACUAGAUGACACCUCAAAAAAUAAGUACCUUUAUCAUGUUGACACUAAAAGGCUCAAAGCAGAUUUGAACCAAACAUAUCUAUGACAUUGUCGCUUUGGACAUAUAAACAAGAAACGCAUAUCUCAACUCCAAAAGAGUGGACUUUUGGGGGAAAAUGACACUGAUUCAUUUGACAUAUGUGAAUCUUGUUUAUGUGGCAAGAUGACAAAAUCCCCUUUCUUUGGAACUAAUGAAAGGGCAAGUGUUUUAUUAGGCAUCAUACACACUGAUGUAUGUGGACCUUUUAAAACAAUGUCUAGAUAUGGUGAGAGAUAUUAUAUCACCUUCACCGAUGACUUCAGCCAUUUUGUUUAUGUGUAUUUGAUGAAACAUAAACAUGAAGCAUUUGAAAAGUUUAAAUUGUUUCAAAGUGAAGUUGAAAGUCAACUCGACAAAACAAUCACCGAUGACUUAACCCGAUGCAUCUCUAGUUGGCACUAAUAGUGAACAAGAAGUUAUUGAAGAUGAAGAGAUCAUUGUACUUCAACCUACUAAAACACAAGGCAUUCGCAGAUCUGGUAGAAUUCAUCAUGAACCUGAGAGAUAUGGAUUUCUCAUUGAUGAUUGCUUCAGAAAGAUGAAUGUUAAUCAGCCGGUCAGCUACCAGUAUGCAAUGAUAGAUCCCAAAUCUGCCAGAUGGCUUGAAUCCAUGAACGUUGAGAUGCAAUCCAUGAGGGAAAAUCAACUCUGGGACUUGGUUGAUCUUCCUCCCGAUAGCAAGACUGUUGGAAGUAAGUGGGUCUUCAAGAAGAACAUCGACAUGAAUGGCAACUUACACACAUUUAAAGCAAGAUUUGUUGCUAAAGGAUUCGCUCAAACUCAUGGGGUUGAUUAUGAUGACAGAUUUUCACCAGUCACUAUGAUUAAAUCAAUUAGGAUACUAUUUGCCAUAGCUGCAUAUUAUAACUAUCAGAUAUGGCAAAUGGAUGUCAAAACCGCUUUUCUGAAUGGACACUUGGAAGAAGAUGUAUAUAUGGAUUAGUUUGAAGGGUUUUUCAACCAAAAGCAUCCUAUUAAAGUGUGUAACAUCAAGAUAUGCAUUUAUGGGUUAAAGCAAGCAUCUUGUAACUGGAAUCAUCGUUUCGAUGAUGAAAUCAUAAAGUGUGGUUUUAUUAAAAAUGAAGAUGAAUCUUGUGUCUACAUGAAAACUAGUGGGAGCUCAGUGACAUUCUUAGUCCUAUAUGUGUAUGACAUAUUAAUCAUGGGAAAUCACAUUCCAACUUUACAAGGUGUAAAGACUUGGCUUGGAAAGUGUUUCUCAAUAAAGGACCUAGGUGAGGCACAAUACAUUCUUGGAAUCAAAAUCUAUAGAUAUAGAUCAAAACGAUUAAUAGGUCUAAGACAAGGUACAUAUAUUGAGAAAGUAUUGAAGCGAUUCAUUAUGGAAAACUCUAAGAGAGGAUUUGUACCCAUGGCACAUGGCAAUGUACUAAGUUCAUCUCAAUGUCCUAGCACAAAGUUUGAGCUAGACAAGAUGAAAGAUAUUACAUAGGCUUCUACAAUUUGAUCCAUCAUGUAUGCCAUGAAUUGUACAAGACCUGAUCUUGCUUAUGCUAUGAGCAUGGUAAGAAAGUUCCAAUAAAAUCUAGGGGAGAGUCAUUGGAGAGUUGUGAAGAACAUCCUAAAGUACUUACGAGGAACUAAGUAUUUGCUCCUCGUCUAUGGAGGCGUGGAAGAAAGCUUAAGUGUAAAGUGUUACACUAAUGUGUCCUUCACAACUGAUCGAGAUGAUUGCAAAUCGCAAUCAGGAUAUGUGUUCAUUAUCAUUGGGGGUGCGGUACCUUGGAAAGGCUCCAAGCAAAGUGUUGUCGCACAAUCCACUAUAAAGUCAAAAUACAUUGUUGCUUCUCAAGCUGCACAAGAGGCUGCUUGGAUGAAGAAAUUCAUUGGGGAUCUGGGGGUAGUCCCUACCAUUCAGGACCCCCUAGACAUUUUCUAUGACAAUGAGGGUGUUAUUUUAUUGGAAAAAGAACCACGGGCACACAAGAAGACCAGGCAUAUUAGCCACAGAUUCAACUUCAUCCGGUAUAAAGUUGAAGAAAGUGAAAUUAGUAUUUGCAAAGUUCACAUUGAUCAAAAUUUGGCGGAACCUUUCACGGAGCCUCUUCCUCAAGCAAACUUUGACGGACAUACUCAUGGAAUAGGAAUUCGCUAUUCUAGUGAUUGGAUUUGAUCUAUGUAUUAGUAUUGCAUAUUGGAACAUUAUAUAACAUCAUCUAUUGUAAUGACUAUGAUCUAUAUGGCAUAUGAUAUUUUUAUUAAAUAUGUGUUGUGCUCCAUUUUAACAUGUUUAAUCCUUGAGUGUAUUUAUUCACUCUAAAUGUAACAUCCCAAAAUUCUAGACCAAAAUUUCAUUUUGGAUAUAACGAUUCAUAACACGAUUUAUAGAAAACAUCAUCAAUUUAUGUCAUUUCAUAAAAAAACAUUGAACAUAAGUCUCAAAAGCAUGUCAUAAAGUAGUAACAAUGUCAGAGUACCAAUCCCAAGAAUCUCAUAUGCGAAAAAUCGUAUGUGUGAUGCAUUGCUACCGUGCUAGCUCCUUUCCAUUUGAAGAACCAUGACCUUUAACAAACACUGAAAACCGUAAGCACAAAGCUUAGUAACUUCCCCCAUCUUACCACAUAAUAACACACUAUCAGGCAUAUCUGGGUGCCCAGCCUACCUUGCUGAGCAUAUAUAGGUGCUCAACCUACCCUUGUUAGGCAUACCAGGGUGCCCAACCUACCCCUUGUCAAGCAUAUAUGGGUGCUUGACCUACCCUGCUAGGCAUAUCUUGGUGCCUGACCUACCCUCCAGUUUAUUUCAACCAUCUACGGGGACUAUUUCACCCCUACCACUACCACAUAAUAACAUAUCAUAACAUAUUGCCACGCAUAUCUAGGUGCCCGACCUACCCUGCUGGUUUAUCUCAACUGGGUCCAGGGACUAGUCCCCUUCCUACCACUAUCACAUAAUAUAAUAGAAUAGUAGCACAAAUAGCAUAAUAAAUAGUGGAAUACCAGAUAAUUAUCACAACAACAAUCGUCUCUACUAUAAUCAACUACUAGCGGGUCAGCAUUGGUGCCUUCAACCCACUUCUAUUGGAAGGUAACUCACCUCGAGUGUCGUGUAGUAGUUAUAUUGUCCUUAACUUUGGGAUAAACUCCCACACUUAAUAAUAUCCUUUAAUUACCCUUUCAUACUCAUAACCCCAAUAAGGGUCAACUCUGUUUAAUGGUCCAUCAACUUGUUGAGUUCCAUGAUCCAUAAAACCCUGAAAUCUCGAUCCUACUCGUCGAGUUCUUUCAUGAACUCCUUGAAUUCCAUGAUUCAUAAAACUCUAGAAUCUCAAUCCUACUUGUUCAGUUCUUUCAUGAACUCGUCGAGUUCCCCUUCAUAGAGUUUUGGGACAUUUCUCUCACAACUUGUCGAGUUCCUUCUUGAACUCGUCGAGUUCUUCAAUCUUCAAACCUAAGAACAUAUCCAACUCGCUGAGUCAUCUCCUAGACUCGACAAGUUUGACCAGUAACUUAAAAGGUUGGGGAACCACAACCCAUCUUGUCGGUAGUGUAAACAACUCGUUGAGUCCCCUCUAAAUCCAUACAGUCGUUUCCAGUCGGGUUCAAUGCUUCCAAACCAUAGAUUUGGUCUCUUAGGGUCGAUAUAUCACAUAAAAUUACUAAAUUUAUGUCCAUGCAUGGGUUAUUUAGCUCAAUAGGCCCUAAAAAGUGGUUCACACAUUUCUUGGGAGUCCCAUGGCCAUAAAGUUGGAAACUUUAUGCCAUGGAGUCCCUCAAUGGUUCUAGAUCUGAAGGUUCUUUCCAUAGGGAAUAUCUAAAUCCCAAAGGCCACCAUUAUUGAACCAAAACAAGGGGAAAAAACCCUAAAACUAGAUCUAAACACUCAAUAAGCAAGGUAAGAGCUUUAUACCUUAGGUGAGCCAGAAGUGAAGCUCUACUUCUAGAUCCAAAGCUUUUUACUUCAACCAAGUACUUCUGGCUUCCACUCCUUCAAGAAAUACCAAAUAAUAACUCUCUUUUCACUCGCACAAACUCAAAAAGCUCAAGAUCAUGAAUAAUGGUUUUGCUGGACUGAGGGAGGCCAUGAGGGCGGCCAUAAUAAAGUGUUAAGGUGCUUAAAUAUGGUGCAAACCGUAAAAAUUAGGGUUUCACUCUGACAGCCCUACUCGUCGAGUUGAGCCUUCUCAACUCGUCGAGUAGACUUCAAUCCCGCGUCUAAAAUCCAAUUCUACUCAACGAGUUUGGGGCCCCUAACGCAUCGAGUCCCUUUGCAAAAAUGAACAUUUCGGUUUAAAAUACAUACCAGGAACCGGGUAUUAGAAAUCUCCUUUACUUAUUUUAGACUUCGUCCUCGAAGUCUGUUGCGUCUGGGAAAAGCUCUAGGUAGUUCUACCUUAUCUCGUCCUUCGGCUCUCAAUCCAUUCUGAGCCCUUGUGGUGUUGUCAUUGCACCUUCACUAGCUCGACUUCUUGUUCCUCGGAUCCUUCAUCUUCCUAUCGAGGAUGGCUACCGGUCGUUUGAUGUAGUUUAGGUUAUCGUCCAACUGAAUAUACUCUAGAGGUACCACCUCCAAGUUAUCUACCAGACACUUCUGUAAUUGGGAGACAUGAAAGGUAUUGUGGAUCUGACUAAGCUCAACUGGCAGAUCCAACCUAUACGCCACCUUGCCCACUCGGGCUACAACCCUAAAAGGACUAAUGUACCUGGGGCCCAACUUACCCCGCUUCCUGAACCGGAUGGCACCUUUCCAAGGUGAGACCUUCAGGAGAACCAUAUCCCUGACCUGGAACUCCAGGUCCGAUCGACGUCUAUCGGCGUAGCUCUUCUGCCGACUCUGAGCAGUCUGAAGCCUGCUCUGAACCUUCUGGAUCCUCUACGUCGUAUUGAGUACCACUUCGUUAUUUCUCAUGACCCUCUACCCCACGUCACCCCAGUAUAUUGGGGUCCUGUACUUCCUUCCACUUAACAUCUCGAAGGGAGGACGGUCGAUACUCGCAUGGUAGCUAUUAUUAUAGGAAAACUCUGGCAAGGGAAGGUAGGUAUCCCAGCUACAACCGAAGUCUAUCACGCAUGCCUACAACAUUUCCUCCAAGGUAUGGAUGGUCCACUCACUCUUACCAUCCAUCUGGGGGUGAAAAGUUGUGCUAAAAUGCAGACGAGUACCCAACUCGUUGUGAAACUUCUUCCAGAAUCUAGAAGUGAACCGCACAUCUCUGUCUGAAAUUAUGGAGAUUGGCACUCCGUGUCAAGCUACUAUCUCCCUGAUGUAGAUGUCGGCCAGCUUCUCAGCCAAAAUGCUCUCAUGGAUCAGAAUUAAAUGGACACUCUUGGUCACCCAAUCCACGAUGACCCAAAUCGUAUCCACUCCUUGUGUGGUCCUGGGAAGCUUCGUGAUGAAAUCCAUAGUAAUAUCAUCCCACUUCCAUACAAGGAUAUCCAAUGGUUGCUUCUUGUUGUUAGUUAUCUCGUGCUCUGCCUUGACCUUCCUAUAGGUUAAGCGUCUCUCAACGUACCAGGGUACAUCUCGCUUCAUGUAGGGUCACCAGUAAUCAGGGCGAAGAUCUUUGUGCAUAUUCGUCGCCCUAGGAUGGAUGGAAAAUAUGGACUUGUGAGCCUCAUCCAUCAGAAUUUGUUGUACUCCGCCCUAGUACGAAACCCAGACCCUCCCAUGUAGGGUCAGCAACCCAUGACCGUCAUAGUGAAACGAGGCCACUUGGCCUAUGAUCCGCUCACACUUUCGGUACUCCUACUACAUACCCUUGACCUGUGCCUCUCGUAUCUGCUCCAAAAGUGGAGUCACCAUCGUCAUCCUCAAGAAAAUGUCUCUGAUCGGGCCUGCCUUGCGGCUAAGCGCAUCGGCCACAACAUUGGCCUUCACCAGGUGGUAGAGGAUCUCAUAAUCAUAAUCCUUCACCACAUCUAGCCAGUGACGUUGGCUCAUGCUCAAAUUUGGAUGAUCCAUGAGGUACCUCAAGCUCUUAUAGUCCAUGUAAGUGGCACAAUGGACCCAUAGAGGUAAUGCCACCAAAUCUUGAGGGAGAAAACAACCGCCCCCAACUCCAGAUUGUGUGUCGGGUAGUUCACCUCGUGAGGCUUCAGGUGCCUCGAGGCGUAAGCGAUGACGUUCCCUCUCUGCAUCAACAUUGCACCCAAACCCGAAAAUGGAGAUAUCACAGUACACUACAAAGUCCUCCAUGCCCUCUGGCAGGGCUAAGAUCGGCACCUCACACAACCUCUACCUCAAUGUCUCGAAUGCUGCCUGCUGCUCAGGCCCCCAGCAAAAUACAACAACCUUCUUUUCCAGCCGUGUCAAGGGUACUGCUAUCUUUGAGAAGUCCAGUAUGAAUCUCUAGUAAUAGCAUGCUAACUCGAGGAAACUCUGAAUCUAAGAACGAGACUUCGAAACCUCUGAUCUCAUCAUGGCCACCACUUUGUCCAGGUCAACCAAAAUCUCGUUUUGGUUGACAAGGCACCCCAGAAACUGCACCUCGCGCAACCAGAAUUCACACUUGGAGAAAUUGGCAUACAAGCUCUCCCUCCUCAGGGUAUCCAACACCUCCCGCAAGUGCUCCUCAUGCUGCUCUUGUGUCUUGGAGUAAACCAAUAUAUCAUCUAUAAAGACUAUCACAUACCGAUCCAACAUCAGUCUGCAUGCACGGUUCAUGAGGUCCAUGAACGCAUCAGGGGCAUUGGCGAGCCCAAAGGGCAUCAGAACGAACUCGUAAUGGCCAUAGCAAGUCUGGAAAGUAGUCUUUUGUAUAUCCUCAUCUCUGACUCGCUUCUGGUGGUAGCCUAAACAUACAUCUAUCUUGGAAAACCAAGACGCCCCUGUAGCUGGUCGAAGAGAUCGUCAAUCCUCGGGAGUGGGUAACGGUUCUUUAACGUUACCUUCUUCAGCUCCCGGUAAUCUAUACGCAUCCAGUGCGACCCGUCCUUCUUCUUCACAAAUAGGAUCGGGGCUCCCCAAGACGAACUGCUUAGCCUAAUGAAUCCCUUGUCUAACAACUCCUACAGUUGUGUAGACAACUCCUGUAUCUCGGAGGAACCAACCGAUAUGGUUCCUUGGCUAUCGGAGCUGCACCAGGGACUAGGUCGAUCCUGAACUCCAGCUAUCUCUCCGGAAGUAUCCCAUACAACUCCUCUAGAAAUACGUUCAGGUACUCCCGCACCACUAGCACAUCACUCACAAUCGCCUUACCUGCCUCCCGAGUAUCUAUAGGCGACAUACCCUAUGCAACUCUGAUGAAGGUAGCACCUAUCCCUUACUGCCGAACACAUAGCUGGUCCAUGUUGCGGUCUCUUGCCCUGAAUCACCAGCUCUCCCCCACUUAGGGUCUAGACACGCGUCAUACAACCUCAAAACGUAAUCUCUGAAAACCUCUGAUGCCCGUCCAGAUAGUCUUCGACAAUCUCAACCUCUAAAGGACAAUCCAAUAUCCCUAGAGACUCAGAAAACCUCUUGCUAAGAGCAAGAGAGACGAAUGAUUGGGUAGCCCCCGAGUCAAAUAACACAUGUACUGGAAUGUUGUUCACAUGGAACGAUGCUAAACAAAACAUAUAAAUAUAGCACAUAAAUAUCAUAAACAACAUGUAAUAAUAGUUAGGGAGAAGAAAACAUACCCUUUACCAGAUCUGGUGCGGCAUGCACCUCCUCGGUGGUCAGCUGGAAGGCUCGGUCUUCACCACUAGAGCAUCUGUCUUGCCCUGUUGGCCAUCCUUUUUAUGGCCCCUCUUAUUGCAAUGAAAGCAAAUCAGGCCUGACAUCUAGAUGGUGGGGGUAGGGGUUGUACAAUCCUUGCUAAAGUGCCCAGUCUUGUCACACUUGUACCAUCCCGAGCCCCCAGCUCUGCAAACUUCCUCAUGUGCCCUUCUGUAUCUCCUACAGCGGCUCCUACCCUGCUUGCCAAUCAACUUAAGGUCGAAUCCCUUGGGUUUCUUCCCAUAAACCCUAGUCGUCUGCCCCGUCUCCGUCUCCGCCUUCCUCUUCCUGAGGUGCUAUAUGUCAAUCUCCCUCUCCCUCGCCCUGGCUAUCAUAUCCUCCAAAGUCAGGCAUGCCGAGUAGCUGACAUGUUUCCGGAUGUCAUCCCUCAACAUGUCAUGGUACUUAUUCUUCCUCAUCUCAUCAUCCCCUGCAUACUGAGGUACUAGUGAGGCCCUCUCCCUAAACUUGGCGGUAAUCUCCGCCACCGACUCAGUCGUCUGCCUCAUAUCCAAAAAAACCCUGGCCACCUGCUGAAGCUCCACAGUUGGUACAAACUCAGCCCUAAACAUGAUCACAAAAUCCGACUAGGUCAUAGCCCCAAUGGUUGGGGCUCCCAACGAAUCAUUGACUUUCUCCUACCAAUCUCUAGCUUUGUCCUCAAACACCCUGCAGCAUACCAGACCUUCUACCCCUCAAGGCAGAAGCUCAUCAACUGAGCAGACUCCAUGUCCGAAAUCGACUUCCUGACCACAAUGGGGUCCUUCACCCUAUGCAAGUAUGGCGCACCACAUCCCCUAAAAUCCUUGAAGGAGAGUGUGUGUGGCCCUGAAUAGCCAUAUGCCAUGUUGCUCCUAAACACCCUGAGACUCUCCUCCAUCAACUCGAUGAUCCUUUCCUUGAUCAACCCAAAAAUCACCGGGGUCGCCUCAAGGAUGCCUCGUGUAAUCUCGGAUGCAAUGUACUCACGUAGUCCAUCAUCAAUCGGCUCGGAACCUGCACCUGAACCUGAACCUAAUCCUGACACAGACCCUGAACCUCCUGCUCCGUAACGUGUCACCACCAUUCUAAAACAAAACACAUAAUUUUCAGGGUCAUGCAUAACCUCGAGAGGUCUCAAACACUCUACAAGCUCUUUGGUUCUAUCUCAGCCCUCCUUGAAUCGAGUAUGGAUCCUCUACUUUCAGUAGUACGGGCCCAUAUUACCUUCCACAUCUAUCAGUACUUUCCUCAAGGAUUGCCUUGACUUCACCAAGUACCUUCUACUACUACUGCUCGCUACACUAAUCUCAUCCUAGGCUUACCCUAGGGUAACUCUCUGACCUACUCUCCGUCAUCAGCUGCAUAAGAAAUCUAUGUUACCUUUACUUAACUAGCUCGCAAAUACCAUUACAUAUCACUAAGACCAGAUAAUUCUUCAAAUGAGAGGUCCUACCCUACAACGGUUGGACUCAAACAAGAGCUGUGAAAUAGGGCUAGACCUAACCUUCUGGAAUUAUUUAGUCCUCUCAAUAUGUAACUUACCGUAUUUGUUUACUAGUUAGUUAAAGAUAAUUAGAACUCCUAAAAUCACAAAGCAAGCAGCAUUCGAGCAUUGAGUAACCAAACCAAGCAUAUCCUAUUCAGGCCAUCACAUUACAGACUAAUCAGUUCUAGCAUGUAAUUCAGUAAGCACAUAUAGCAGGCACAUAGGCAUCUUCCUAGAUCCUCAGACCUAAUCUAGCAUGCAGUUAUUAUAAUCAUAUCAUAUAUCAUAACAAACAUGUAUGGGUAUCUUGGGGAAAACUUACUUGAGCUUGGCCGAUUGCACGCAUCACACUCCAUGUUCUUUCUCAAAACUCUUUAUUUUAAUUUUUAGAAAAACUAUUUUCUUGUAAAAAUCUUUCAAACCCUCAAUUUGAGUCCAGACACCCCCGAAGGUGUGUGCGAAUCCCUCAAACCAACGCUCUGAUACCAACUUGUAACAUCGCAAAAUUCUAGACCAAAAUUUUCAUUUUUUAUAUAACGAUUCAUAAAACAAUUUGUAGAAAACAUCAACAAGUUAUUUUAUUUCAUAAAAACCAUAGAACAUAAGUCUCAAAAGCAUGUCAUAAGGUAAUAACAAUUUCAGAGUACAAAUCCCAAGAAUCUCAUAUGCAGAAAAUCGUGUGUAUGAUACGCUGCUACCGUGCCGACUCCUUUCCCUUCGAAGAAGAAGGACCUUUAACAAAAAUUGAAAAUUGUAAGCACAAAGCUUAGUGAGUUCCCAAAUCUUACCAUACAAUAACAUAUUUUCAGGCAUAUUUGGGUGCCCAGCCUACCCUUCUAAGCAUAUUUGGGUGCUCAACCUACCUUGUCAGGCAUACUUGGGUGCUCGAUCUACCCCUUGUCUAGCAUAUAUGGGUGCUCGACCUACCCUGCCAGGCAUAUCUUGGUGCCCGACCUACCCUCCAACCGGCUACGGGGACUGUUUCACCCCUACCACUACCAUAUAAUAACAUAUCAUAACAUACUGUCAGGUAUAUCUGGGUGCCUGACCUACCCUGCCAUUUUAUCUCAACUGGGUCUGGGGACUAGUCUCCUUCCUACCACUAUCACAUAAUAUCAUAGCAUACUACACAAAUAGCAUAACAGUUAAUCGCAUACCAAACAAUUAUCACAACAACAAUCAUCUCUACUAUAAUCAACUACUAGUGGGUCGGCAUUGGUGCCUUUAACCUACUUCUACUAGAAGGUAACUCACCUCGAGUGUCGUGUAGUAGUUGUACUCUCCUCGACUCUGGGAUCAACUCCUCUCAAACUCCUACACAUUAUAAUCUCCUUUAAUUACCAUUUCAUACUCAUAACCUCUUUAAGGGUCAACUAUGGUCAAUGGUCAAAGUCAAGGUCAACCUCCUGGUCAAACUCAACAUCCUGGUUGACUCAACUCGCCGAGUUGGUCCAUUAACUCAUCGAGUUCCAUGAUCCAUAAAAUGCUAAAAUAUCAAUCCUAGUCGUCAAGUUCUUUCAUGAACUCGUCGGGUUCCAUGAUUCAUAAAACUCUAGAAUCCCGAUCCUACCCAUCGAGUUCUUUCAUGAACUUGUCGAGUUCCUCUUCAUACAGUUUCAGGACAUUUCGCUCAAAACUCACUGAGUUCAUCCUUAAACUCGUCGAGUUCUUCAAUCUUCAAACCCAAGAACAUAUCCAACUCGUUGAUUAAUCUCCUAGACUCGACGAGUUUGGCCAGUAACAGAAAAGUGUUGGGAACCACAACCCAACUCGUCGAGUUAUAUGAACAACUCGUCGAGUCCCCCAUAGUCUAAACCCAUACAGUCAUUUCUAGUCAAUUUCAAUGCUUCCAAACCAUAGAUCUGGUCUCCUAGAGUCGAUAUAUCACGUAAAAUUACUAACUUUACGUCCAUGCAUGGGUUAUUUAGCUUAAAAAGCCCUAAAAAGUGGUUCACAAGUUGCAAAGGACUCCCAUGGCCAUAAAGUUGGCACCUUUAUGCCAAGGAGUCCCUCAAUGGUUCUAGAUCGGAAGGUUCAUUCCACAGGGAAUAUCCAAAUCCCAAAGGCCACCAUUAUUCAACCAAAACAUGGAGAAAAAGCCCUAAAACUAGAUCUAAACACUCAACAAGCAAGGUAAGAGCUUUAUACCUCAGGUGAACCUGAAAUGAAGCUCUACUUCUGGAUCCAAAGCUUCUUCCUUCAACCAAGCACGUCUAGCUUCCACGCCUUCAAGGAAAUACCAAAAAAAUCACUCUCUUUUCACUCGUACACACUCAAAAGGCUCAAGAUCAAGAAUUAGGGUUUUGCUAGACUAAGGGAGACGAUGAAGGGGGGCACAAUAAAUUGUUAAGGUGCUUAAAUAGGGUGCAAAACCUGAGAAAAUUAUGGUUUCACUCUGGCAGCCCUACUCGUCGAGUUGAGGCUUCUCAUCUCGUCGAGUAGAUUUCAAGUCUCGCGUCCAAAAUUCAUUUCUACUCGACGAGUUUGGGGCCUCCAACUCAUCGAGUCCCUUUGCAAAAAUGAAUAAUUUGAUUUAAAAUACAUAUCAUGAUCUGGGUGUUGCACUAAAACUCCAUAGUCAGUUGUCAUUGUGGGAGCAAUAAUGAAAUAAGAGUAAUAUGAAAUAGGAUGGUUGACAAAGCGUUGUAACCAGUUUCAUAGAUACUUACAAGAGAGUAAGUAUUGGAGUGACCCUUUCAAGAUCACUUCAUGGAUUGCUGCCAUGAAUGAUACUUGAUAAAAGGUAAUAUUUGUAUAUCCUUAACACCUCAGAUAUAUAUUUGGGACUUGAGUGUGGAAAACGUUAUGCAUUGAUGUAGUCAAAAGUUAUUCUUUUGUUAGGCAGUUAUAAAAAAAACUAUUAUCAAGCGUGAUCUAAACCAUGUAAGAGGCGUAUGUAGUCAAGAUGGGAUUUUCUCCACUUAUUCAUUGAGAGUUAGACAUCUAAUGCCUGAUGUAAAGUUCCAACUUAUAUGAGAUUGACUGCGAUCUAUAUCUCAUGAUUCAACAUGAUGUCUGUAGCAAAGAGAUAACCGAUAAACUUACCUUACUCACCAAUUGUAGCCUUUGGGGCUUCUGGGGAAUUAGGCAUUGAUGGAAUGGCACUAUGUCAUAUGUUGUUGGGGGCAGUGAAAUGUUGCUAGACAUUCACCAAUGUAUAUAUUAAUUUGAUAUGAGUCUUGCGCAAGUGGGAGUUGAAAGAUCUAGUACGCUCAAGAGUCAUAUUAAAAUGAUAUUGCUAAAUAGCAUAUGAUCCUAAGGGUCACACUAACAACAACUUGAUACAACUUAUUAUUUAUUAGAAAUUGAUUUUAACAAAUUUUCAUAAACUCUUAUAAUACUUGGGAAAAUAUUUAUUUCAAGGGAAUAAAUUAUUUUACAAUACAAGUAACACAUUAUUUCAUAGUGUAUGAAUAUAUAUAUAUAUAUAUAUANNNNNNNNNNNNNNNNNNNNNNNNNNNNNNNNNNNNNNNNNNNNNNNNNNNNNNNNNAUAUGUCAUGUACAUAUUUUUGGACCUUAUAAGCCUUUUGUCUUUCAGCAAAAGACAAAGUUUAUAUCUUAUAAACUUUGAGUUUAUAAAAUAUAAACUCUUGGGUUGUCUUUUCAUCAUAAAAAACGUGAAUAAGUGAGAGGGAUAAAGAGAUAGUGAAAAUGUUCAUGACAUAGGGGUCAAGGUUGUCUAAAGUGCUUAAUGGUUAAUGACUCUUCGACCAUAAUUCUAUGAUAAAUAAGGGUGAAUGCUUUCAUUUUCUUGACUCCCUCUUGCUAUUUCUGAGAGCUCUCUUUUCCCCUCUCCAUAUUCUCUCAAGUCUUGUAUCUUGAAGAUAUUUGUUGCUUGCAUCCUCUCUUUACGUCAUAAACUUGUUUUGACUUAAAGCUUAAAAGUUGUAACUGUCAUUACAUCAAGUUGGUACAUUGUCGGUGUCUCAUGGGUUCAACCUCACUCCAUCAACUUCCAAGCCUCCUCUAGAGGACUCAAAGUGCUUCAAAGGUUUUCAGCACUUCUUCCUUGUAUGGUUGUGUUUUAAAUCUUUCUUUUACUUUCAAGAUGAUGCUUGGUGGGUGAUAAAAUGUUUAUGUUAUUUUAUAAAAUUAAAGUCUUCUGUUUGCCAUUAUUUGUAGUUUUUGAAACGAAGUUUUAAAUAAAACCCAACAAUAAGUAGUAUCCUAACCAAGAUGGUAGAUUAAAAGAGAAUGGUCACAUGCAAUGUGUCAUAAACCCAAGGUGGUCACAUGAUCUGUAAAACAUUGGUACCAUGCCCGGGGUGCAUGUUUUAGACCAUAUAAAGACUUUUUCAAUAUGAAAAUAGGAUAGGGGAGAGAUAGAUUUCUGAAACCCAUAGGUUAGUGCAUGUAAACUAUUUAUGGUAGAUGUCCAUAUAAGAACGCAUUUUUAACGUCUAGUUGGCUGAUUUCCCAUUUGUUGGAUAGAGCCAAAAUUAAUACCGCUUGUAUAGUAGCCGACUUAACAACCGGGCUGAACGUUUCGUCGCAAUCCACUCCCACCUAUUGAGACCUUCCAUCACAAACCAAACAUACUUUGUAUCUUUCAAGGGAUUCGUCAGCUAUAGUUUUAUGUUUAAAAAUCCACAUGCACCAAAUAACAUUCAUAGAAGAAGUAUAAGGUCCUAAACCCUAAGUAUUAUUAUCAAUAAUAGCAUUAAACUCAUCAGUCAUGGCACGCUUCCAAACAGGUUGGGUUAAGGUUUCAAUUGGGAUCCAUGGAAGUGGUUCAACGUGGUCGUGGUAUGUAGGUUGGGUUAAGGUUCAAUUGGGUUGUAUGUUUGGAUUGUUCGAACAGGUUGGUAAUGGGGUUUGUAACACUCGUGUUUCUAGGCUAGGAAUUAAUAUUGACAUAAUGGUCUAGGUUAACCUUUGUAACUCAUUUAGAAGAAAUGAAAAGGAAUUAUGUGAAUUAUGUGUUUUAUGCUUAAUUAUUAGGAUUUAAUUAAUUAAGAAUAAAAAUAAGCUUCAAAAUUAAAGUGUGAGAUAAGCCUGAUAUCUUUACAUAAAGUUGUAGUGGUCGAAACAAGGAUUUCGGGGAUAUAAAGAAUGCCGAAAUCCGAGUUAUAACAAAGAAGUUAUGACCUGUCGAAGUUUCGCGACAAAACCGGCACGGUGCCGAAUGUCGUAAAAAGUGAGUUUUUGAUAAACUACUUUUUAGCCUUAGUAAUCUAAACGAAAGUCGUAGUAUUCGUUAAACCAAGAAGUUCGAUAAAAAUAACGCUCAAAUCUGACUUCGUAUAAGGAAGUUAUGAGUUUUCGAAGUUUCAGCUUAGCAGUAGACAGCUAAAAGCUCGAAUUUUAGAUCGAGCGAUUUUUAGCCGACACAACCUAAACGAGAAUUGAAGGUCUCGUCAUUAGUAGCACAACAGUAAAAAGUCUGACAAAAACGGACGUCGGAUGAAGUCCCGAUCUGUUAAAAAUAAUAAUAAAACAAUUAAAGUCAAAAUUAGCCGACGGAGUCUAAAUGAAAGUUGUAGAGUGUAAUUUUACCUACGCAUGCAUAUAAAGAACGUCAAAAACGAAGCUCGUAUGCGAAAGUUAUGGAUUUUAGAAGUUUUUGCGCAAAAAACGAGAAAAACCCCCAAAACCGAGAAAUUUCGCUGAGUCACCUCGGACACGUCAUCCCUCGCAUGCGAGGCCUCCACGUGGCACCUCCUGAUAGGACCGAGCUUCGCAUGUCGUCUUCUGAUUGGACCAAGUCCGCGGUCCACUCGCAUUCGGACAGGCUCGCAAGAGACACCCCGCGGAUGCUCCUCGGACACCCUUUCGCAUACGUGGACUCUUAUGAUUGAACCGAGGUUGCUGACCAAUCCGAAGCUCGCAGCUGACCGGUCCUAGCCUCGCCGAAGCAGCCACCUGGUCCGAGCCUCGCAGACGCGUGCCAUCCCCUCCUCGGUUCAGAUACGAGCCUUCAGUCCUCCUCCCCUAUAAAUAGAAGGGUGCGAGACCUCCCGGGGGUAUUUUGAAAACUUAUCAUUUUUAUCCCCUUUCUCCAUAUUUCUUUCAUAUUAUCAUCCCCCGAAGCCCCGGUAUCGAUUAUAAGCCCCGGAAUACUCCACGAAGUGCCCGUGAAGCCCGGAAAAUUUAUCUUUUCGGUUUCGAAGCCCGACUUUUACAAAGCCCGGUUUCUCAAUAAAACUCCCGGUUUUAUUAGAAACGAUCGUUUUAGGAAAUGAAUUGUUGCCUGAUUAUCAUCAAAUCAAGUGAGUGUAUAUUCACUUUCAAUUUACACAUAGAUAUGAAGUAUUUACCUUAAAAUACGUGUUACGUGUAAAUAUAUUUAUUGUUUAUUUGAGGUGACUGUUAAGUUGAUGUUUUAUACAGUAUAAGUAUUUUUAUCUACAAAUAUGUUGGGUAGAACAUGGGUAGAUAGUGAUGUGUGAUAAAAUAAAAUUGAUGAGAGGCCUCGAUGUGUUUUGAGAUCCAGUCAUCUAGCAUAUUUUGGAUGACGACCACGGACUUUCUAGACAGUCCAAUGGGAAACAUUAGCAGGUCUGCAACAUGUAUGUGUUAAUGAACUUGGGUAUUCAUUCGCUGUACUCCAUCCCCCUCAUGGUUUCCUUUAGGACAUGUAUGGUUGAGGAAACCCCUUAGCAGUAGUGUCCAUCCCGAUGAUAUUAUUUAGGCUAGGUCCCUUUUGAAAAGUGUUUAGGGAUGUAAAUUAAGGAUAACGGGAAUGGGUAAUCAGGGUUAUUGUUGAUUGGUGAACUUAAUAAGUUUAUUAUUAUUGUGGGUUGAAAACCCUAUAUGCUCACCAGGCUCCCAAGCCUGACCCACUCAGCUUUUUAUGUUACAGGUAGUGGACCCCGAGCAUAGUCGGAGGACGACGAGAGAUUUUUGGAUUAUAGGCCAGUAGUUGUAAAUAACUGUUGAAAGGCUUAUAAUGUCUUGUUUAUGCUUUUGAUANGGCAUUAGUUAGUGUUUCCAUUGCCGUAUAAGGUGCGUCUGGGGGUUAUAUACCUCACGAUAUUCAGACCACAGCCUAGGAAAAGUUCGAUGUUGGAUAGUGUGCGUCUGGGGUUAUAUACCUCACGAUAUUCAGACCACAGCCUAGGCAUUGAUAACUACCCCUGACUUAAUUGUCUUGUGGUUCUUUCUUUUACGAACAAAGGUGCGUAGUUAAACUUAGUCCAUUCAUUCAAUAUGUUUAUCGAUCCUUGUUUGCUGCUAGAGGAUUUCUGAAGCAGUUUCGUAGUUAGUUGUUCAUAUCGAUCCUUUAGGCUAGAUCUAGUAAGAUCACUAUAUAAGGUUAGUAUGCGGGGCUCAAUGAUGUUAGUUCCUGUUAAGUAAACCUUGGUGAUGAUGUGACUUCGUGCCUAUUAGGUAAACCCUGGUGACUAUGAGACGUAGUGCCUAUUAGAUAAAUCUUGGCGACGAUGUGACUUCGUGCCUAUUUGACCUAAAUUGUUGUAGGAAAACAAUGUUGUCACCCCUAAUGAAAAUCCUUAGGCUAGGUCCCUUGUGAUAGUUGUUUUAGGGACGUAAGGUGAGGAUAACGGGAAUGGGUAAUUGGGGUAAUUUGGUUGACUGAUUGAUGUUUAAACAUAAUAAAUUUAUGUAUUGUGGGUUGAAAACCCUAUAUGCUCACCAGGCUUCCAAGCCUGACCCACUCAGCUUUUUAUGAUUACAGGUAGUGGACCCCGAGCAUAGUCAGAUGAUGAUGAUGAGUGAUUUUGGAUUAUAGGCCAUUAGUUAUAAAUAACUGUUGUAAGGCUUAUAAUGUCUUGUUUAUGCUUUUGAUCUGUAUCGGAACAUGACAUCCCGAGGUUUUGUUAUGAAAUAAAAAUAUAUAUUUCUUAAAGCAAGGUUUUGAUAAAUUUUUAUCAUGUUUGACUUUGGGAACAAAUUCCGCAACACUUUUAAUGAAAUGAUUACUCUGAUUUUAUUUUAAAAAGCAUAAACGAAAUCGGUCUUUUCUGGCCGUGAAAUUGGGGAUGUCACAGUUGGUAUCAGAGCAUUAGUUUAAGCGAACUAAGAAAUAUCCUACGAUUUCUAGACUUAAACUUAGAAUGCUAAGUGAUGAUUGUGAGAUGAGUGUCUACCAUAAUUUAGACAUGAGCACUAGUUUAUUUUAGGAAGGAUGCCUAAAAUGCUUCUAUGUGCUAAAUGUUUUGUGUUAUAGCUAUAAUGAUGCUAUUAUUUUUUCGGAUCUAUGGUCUGUUGCUGACCGGAUCUGGAAACCUUAUAUGUGUAGGAUUCUAAGCGUACAACUACGAUAUUAGAACUAGCAUAUAAACGUUUCGGAGUGAUAAGGAGAUUUAUACGUCUAUCGUAAAUAAGGCUUUCUUAUCUUAAAUUCUCGCCUAGUACAUCGAACGUCUGAUUGGGUGUACAAAACGUUAUGGUGGAGACUCGUAGAGAAUUGAGUAAAUGGAGUAAAUGAAAGGCUUAUGAUAGUGAAUGACACCUAUCAGAAGAUAUCGUAAAAGUGGUAUCUUGCCUUUAGAAUAUGUCUAAUAAAAUAACGAAACAUUUAGAGGGGUACGUUACGUCUGAAGUAAACCUUCGAUUGGCAGGAUGAUGGAAAGAUUGGUGUAAUUCUUGAAGUUUUCCCAUUGUCUGGAAUUUCCAUCACCAACCAAGUUGAAGUAGAACUAAUGAUUGAAGAUACUCGUGGAAGAAGUACUAGUAGAGUCUAGGAAAAUUCUAUGGUUAAUUGGACACAUUCGUAUGUGUUAAAUUGUUUUGUGAUUUUAGAACUUGGGGACUGCGAGACAGUACUUGGGACGAGUAUGAGUAGGUGUGAAUAGUAGUAGAGAUCUAUACUACUGGAAGCAUAGGACUCACACUUGGAUCAGGGAAAGUCACAAGGUUACCAAGAAACUAGUGAUUGAUUCCGUUUUAUUCGGAUAUGUCAUUACCAUCGUUUCAGUAAUGACUAAGAAGAUGAUUGUUAUUCUGACCCUAGUGGUCAUAUCGAAUUGAGUCCGACUACGAUGAGUUAGUUAUGUGGUUCAGAGAACCAAGUUCGAUGAAGCAGUUGACUUAAGCCAAAUUAAAGGAAAGCCUGAUCAAAGCGAUCAAUAGAAGUAUCGCGUUCGUUGUUAAAGAAGUUGGGUUAGGUUGUAUUCUGACCCAAAGUGAUGAAGUGAUAGCGUAUGCACUGAGGCAAUGGCGCUGGCUAGAGUUACUCAAGGACUACGACUGUAAGAUACUUUACCACCCUGGUAACGCAAGUAUUGUUGCUAAUGCUCUCAGUCGGAAGGUGAAUCUUGAAAAGAAAAGGCCAAGAGCGUUGAGAAUUGAAGUUGUCUCUACAAUUAUGGGAAGUAUAACAGAAAGCUCAAGAGGAAGCUUUAGAGAAAAAUGACCGAAAGAAGGAAUUUUUGGGAUAAAACGUUGGUGUUUGAUACAAAGGGUCAAAGACUGAAGGUAUUCAAAGAUAGGAUUUGGGUACCUAAUAUGGGAGGAGUAAGAGGAUUUGUGAUGGAAGAAGCUCACAAAACCAUGUACUCGAUUCAUCCCAGCAAUACGAAAAUGUAUAGGGAUCUAAAACCCUAUUACUGGUAGCCGACGAUGAAGCUCGAAGUUGCUAAAGUAUGUGGUUGAGUGUGUAAAUUAUGCUAGGGUUAAGGCACAACAUCAUAAACUAUAUCGGAGUUUAGAUCCUUUACCUGUACCCAUGGGUAAAUGGGAAGAUAUCACUAUGGAUUCUGUUACUAAACUGCCCAGAACAAGGAACGGUCACGACAUGAUUUGGGUGGUCGUUGAUCGCUUCACUAAGAAUGCGUAUUUCAUAGCAGCCAACAAGAAAUGGUCUAUGGAUAAACUUGCGAAUUCUUAUGUGAAGGAAAGUGUGAGGUUUCACGAUGUUUCGUUAACGAUUGUAUCCGAUUGUGACAGCCGUUUUACCUCAAGGUUUUGGAGGAGUCUAUAAGAGGAAAAGCCGUUUAUGGGACUUGAAAUACUCCAUUAGAAUGCUGAAAAGUUGUAAGUGAUUAAAGAAAAAGAUGUUAGCUGCUCAAAAGAGCUAUGCUGACAAGAAAAGACAACUGAUAUCAUUCGAAGUUGGAGAUUCGGUUUCACUUAAAGUCUCGUCGUGGAAGGGACUUAUAAGAUUUGGUAGAAGGGGAAAGUUGAGUCCAAGGUUUAUUGGACCAUUUAAAGUUCUUCAGAGAAUCCGGAAUCAAGCUUACAAGCUAGAAUUACCGGAAGAACUAGAGAGUAUUCAUAACACCUUUCAUGUGUGUUAUUUGAAAAAGUUCACGGGAGGUGUGCCCGACAUAAUUCCCAUUUCUGAAUUAAGGUUGGACGAGAACAUAAGGUUAAUUGGAGAACCUGAGGCAAUCGUUAACUGUAAGACUAAGAAGUUGUAACGUAAGAUAGUCGAUUUAGUGCAUGUACAUUGGAAACAUAUAAACGGGCCAGAUCCCACCUGGGAAACGGAGAGUGACAUAGUGAGUCGCUACACGUAGUUGUUUGUCGUUGUGUGAUUCCGGGGACAGAAUCAUCCUAAGGGGGAGAGAGUUGUAACGCUCGUGUUUCUAGGCUAGGCAUUAAUAUUGACAUAAUGGUCUAGGUUAACCUUUGUAACUCAUUUAGAAGAAAUGAAAAGGAAUUAUGUGAAUUUUAUGUGAAUUAUGUGUUUUAUGCUUAAUUAUUAGGGCUUAAUUAAUUAAGAAUAAAAAUAAGCGUCAAAAUUAAAGUGUGAGAUAAGCCCGAUAUCUUUACAUAAAGUUGUAGUGGUCGAAACAAGGAUUUCGGGGAUAUAAAGAAUGCCAAAAUCCGAGUUAUAACGAAGAAGUUAUGACCUGUCGAAGUUUCGCGACAAAACCGGCACGGUGCCGAAUGUCGUAAAAAGUGAGUUUUUGAGAAACUACUUUUUAGCCUUAGUAAUCUAAACAAAAUUCGUAGUAUUCGUUAAACCGAGAAGUUCGAUAAAAAGAACGCCCAAAUCUGACUUCGUAUGAGGAAGUUAUGAUUUUUCGAAGAUUCAUCUUAGUAGUAAACAGCUAAAAACUCGAAUUUUAGAUCGAGCGAUUUUUAGCCGACACAACCUAAACGAGAAUUGAAGGUCUCGUCAUUAGUAGCACAACGGUAAAAAGUCUGACGAAAACGGACGUCGGAUGAAGAAGUUAUGAAUUUUUCACGGAUUUCAUAUCCCGAUCUGUUAAAAAUAAUAAAAAAAAAAAUUAAAGUGAAAAUUAGCCGACGGAGUCUAAAUGAAAGUUCUAGAGCGUAAUUUUACCUAUGCGUGCAUAUAAAGAACGUCAAAAAUGGAGCUCGUAUGUGAAAGUUAUGGAUUUUAGAAGUUUUUGCGCGAAAAACGAGAAAAAUCCCCAAAACCGAGAAAUUUCGCUGAGUCACCUCGGACACGUCAUCCCUCGCAUGCGAGGCCUCCACGUGGCACCUCCUAAUAGGACCGAGCUUCGCAUGUCGUCUUCUGAUUGGACCAAGUCCGCGGUCCACUCGCAUUCGGACAGGCUCGCAAGAGACACCCCGCGGAUGCUCCUCGGACACCCUUUCGCAUACGUGGACUCUUCUCAUUGGACCGAGGUUGCUGACCAAUCCGAAGCUCGCAGCUGACCGGUCCUAGCCUCGCCGAAGCAGCCACCUGGUCCGAGCCUCGCAGACGCGUGCCAUCCCCUCCUCGGUUCAGAUACGAGCCUUCAGUCCUCCUCCCCUAUAAAUAGAAGGGUGCGAGACCUCCCGGGGGUAUUUUGAAAACUUAUCAUUUUUAUCCCCUUUCUCCAUAUUUCUUUCAUAUUAUCAUCCCCCGAAGCCCCGGUAUCGAUUAUAAGCCCCGGAAUACUCCACGAAGUGCCCGUGAAGCCCGGAAAAUUUAUCUUUUCGGUUUCGAAGCCCGACUUUUACAAAGCCCNGCCCGAGAAGCCCGGAAAAUUUAUCUUUUCGGUUUCGAAGCCCGACCUUUCGCAGAGCCCGGUUUCUUAAUAAAACUCCCGGUUUUAUUAAAAACGAUCGUUUUAGGAAACGAAUUGCUGCCCGAUUAUCAUCAAAUCAAGUGAGUGUAUAUUCACUUUCAAUUUACACAUAGAUAUGAAGUAUUUACCUUAAAAUACGUGUUACGUGUAAAUAUGUUAAUUGUUUAUUUGAGGUGACUGUUGUGUUGAUAUUCUAUACAAGUUUUAAACUGUAUAUAUAUUUUUAUCUACAAAUAUGUUGGGUAGAACAUGGGUAGUUAGUUGGUGUGUGAUAAAAUAAAGUGAUGAGAGGUAUCGAUGUUUAAGAUGAUCUAGUCAUCUAACAGAGUAUAGACAACGGCCACAGACUAUUUUAGAUAGUCCAGUGGAACGUUAGUAGACUCGUAAUCGGUACAUAUGUUUGAACUAUAUGUUCAUAAAGUGUUCUUGAACUAUAUGUUCCUUAGGUGUUUUUGAACUAUGUGUUCAUCCGUUAAUUCUUCUUUUUGACACUAUUACGUGUCGGGGUACGGGAGCGUACGGGAGUACUUUAUUAGUAUUUUCCCUAUGCUUUUAUUUUGAAGAGAUUUGGAGUCUUCGUUUCUUUUGUGAAGUGAUCGGACGAGCUUCAUGAGUCAGUGUUUUCCUUUCCGAUGCCGGAUAGGGGUGAGUCUGGGGGUUCAGACCACAGCCUAGGCAUUAGUCAGUGUUUUCCUUUCCGAUGCCGGAUAGGGGUGAGUCUGGGGGUUAUAUACCUCACGAUAUUCAGACCACAACCUAGGCAUUAGUUAGUGUUUCCAUUGCCGGAUAGGGUGCGUCUGGGGGUUAUAUAUCUCACGAUAUUCAGACCACAGCCUAGGCAAAGUUCGAUGCUGGAUAGGGUGCGUCUGGGGGUUAUAUACCUCACGAUAUAUAGACCACAAUUUAGGAAUUUAUAACUAUCCCUAACUUAAUUGUCUUGUGGUUCUUUCUUUUACGAACAAAGGUUCGUAGUUAAACUUAGUCCAUUCAUUCAAUUUGUUUAUCGAUCCUUGUUUGCUGCUAGAGGAUUUCUGAAGCAGUUUCGUAGUUAGUUGUUCAUAUCGAUCCUUUAGGCUAGAUCUAGUAAGAUCACUGUAUAAGGUUAGUAUGUGGGGCUCAAUGCUGUUAGUUCCUGUUAAGUUAACCUUGGUGAUGAUGUGACUUCGUGCCUAUUAGGUAAACCCUAGCGACUAUGAGACGUAGUGCCUAUUAGAUAAAUCUUGGCGACGAUGUGACUUCGUGCCUAUUUGACCUAAAUUGUUGUAGGAAAACAAUGUUGUCACCCCUAAUGAAAAUCCUUAGGCUAGGUCCCUUGUGAUAGUUGUUUUAGGGACGUAAGGUGAGGAUAACGGGAAUGGGUAAUUGGGGUAAUUUGGUUGACUGAUUGAUGUUUAAACAUAAUAAAUUUAUGUAUUGUGGGUUGAAAACCCUAUAUGCUCACCAGGCUUCCAAGCCUGACCCACUCAGCUUUUUAUGAUUACAGGUAGUGGACCCCGAGCAUAGUCGGAUGAUGAUGAUGAGUGAUUUUGGAUUAUAGGCCAUUAGUUAUAAAUAACUGUUGUAAGGCUUAUAAUGUCUUGUUUAUGCUUUUGAUCUGUAUCGGAACAUGACAUCCCGAGGUUUUGUUAUGAAAUAAAAAUAUAUAUUUCUUAAAGCAAGGUUUUGAUAAAUUUUUAUCAUGUUUGGCUUUGGGAACAAAUUCCGCAACACUUUUAAUGAAAUGAUUACUCUGAUUUUAUUUUAAAAAGCAUAAACGAAAUCGGUCUUUUCUGGCCGUGAAAUUGGGGAUGUCACAAGGUUGCUGUAUAGGUUUUGUAUUAUGAUGAGAAAAGUGUGUAAAGGUUUCGGUUGGAGGGUGAUUAGGGGUGUUGGUGUGGGUUUUUUUUCCAGGUAAAGAGCCCUUGUGGAUUUGAUGUCGAUGAAGAUGGUUUCCAAGGCUUUCCAUCCUUUUUAUGCAGUAGCUGAUGGGUUUUAUCCAUAAGAACAUCCUAUGUGCUCAUGCAAACCCUAAUGCUUGGAUCUAGGUUUCUCUAUUGUACAUGCAAUUCAUCCAAGAUUUUAACCCUAGUUCUAGCAUACAAUUAAUCAUAUUAACAUGUGAAAGAUUUUUUAGAUCUUACCUUGAUUGUUAUGUAGUAAUAACAAUCUCACAUCCUCCUUGCAAUGACUUUAGAAAGCUUAGAGUCACAAGUGUCACUCCUCUAAUGGUUCACAAACACCAAGAGCAAGAGGUUGAAGAAUGAGGAGAGAGGAGGCUGCCCAAGAACGUCCAAAACCCUAGAGGAACUCUUAGCCACGUUUUUGAGGCUUAAGGGUACUAUAUAUACAUGUAGGCUAUUAGGGUUUUCAACUAGGAAACCCUAAUCUGACUGCUUAAGCCCUAAGCAGCCCAUGGACCCUUUUAGAAUAUCCCUUGGACGAUUUCUAAUGGGUUUCCCAAUAAAAUUCGUCCAACCUAUUAUUCCAAGGUAAUCCAUAGCCCAAAUGCAAUUAUCUUAUAAUUACAGUUCCAGUCCCUUAAGUUUAAUUAAUCUCUUUUAGCCACAAAAUUAAUUAUCAAUUAAUUCUUGACUAAUGUUAAUUAAACAAUAUGAUUUCUCCUUUAAUAUAUUAUUCUCAUAAUAUAUUAAUAAAUCAUAAUUAAUCCUUUCUCUCCAUAAUUCAUCCUAUCAAGUUGCUUUGGUGAAGGCAACCCAAAAGGACCAUGCACCAUCGGGUCAAGUACAUACCAAAAUAGUUAUGGACUUAGACACUAAUCCAACAGUCUCCCACUUGGAUAAGUCUAAUAACUAUUCUGCAUAUGACUUCAGAUCCUGAUCUGCAAUCGUAGCUUUCAAAAGCCGCUGUCAACUCUGAUCUUAUCAGAUACGCGUCCUUUAGAUAAGGGAUCAUAUAUUCCUCCAUUCUAGAUAUCGUAUAGACUGAGACAUGGAUUUAAAUCAUUCUCUCUGUCUAUGUGUUGUUUCCCGAUUUCCGAUUUAUGACGACUGACAACAGACUACAAUUGAACACAUCAAAUUAGUCCCGGCUUGGCCAAGCGCUUAGGUGCCAUCACUAAAUCAUCGAGGGGCCCACAGAUAUCGCUUUCAUCCCACUUUGGAUAAAAGGAACGGAUAAACUUUGAUUCAAUGCUUGCUUGCACUCACUCACCGAAUCACACACAACAAUAUGUUUUAUAACACCAAGUUACUGGUGCGUUUACAUAUUAUCAAUGUGUAACCGACUCGCAAGAUACAACUCACACAUCUCGGUUUCAAGAAUAUAAGAUAUUAUCGUCUCACCAAUCACUCGUGAUAAAAUCCAUGAAGUGAUCCAAGUGAGCGUGGGUUUAAUCCAAUGCUCAAAUCAUAUUCAUAAGCACUCAUGAACGUUGCAGCAAACAUUUGCUUAUGUCUAAUACACUUUAGACAAUCCACACACCAAUUCACGACAGUCUUCAUUCAUACCUACUUCCAACAUAUGAACGACUGUGGUCCGUUCGAAUAAUUUGAUUGUUCUGAACCAAUUUAAUUAUUCAGGAAGUCAAAACAUGCAAAGUGAAACACAAGAAUAAUACUAAUCCCAUAUGGCCCCAAACUCUGGGUAUAAAUAAAACAUUUUAUUUAAUCACCAUAUUGAUUACUCAUUAUUUGUUGUUUCGGGUAAUCAACUUCUUACUUGAAUUAUUACUACACUUGUCCCAUGCUCUCAGCAUGCACACAAUGUUUACCUACGGUCCUUACUUUGUGAAAUAGAUCAAAUGAACACAUUUCCAAUCAUACUCAUUUCACAACUCCCAAUCCUUAUCAUAAGUAUAAGAAUAUCAAAUUCUUGUUACUUAUGCUAGAUUCUAACAUUUUAUGCAAUGAUUCUUUCGUAAAGUCAUAGCUCAAAAUCAUCAAGACUUGGCCAAUCUCUAUCAGAAACAAUUCUAUAGAUAUGAUGUCUCUCACUCAAAGUACAUUCCUUUGAACAUCCUUCUUGCAUAAAAGUUUCUAAUCUAGACAUAGAUUCUCAAUAUCCAACUCCCAAUAUGGAAACAUUUCCAUAUUUGCCAUAUGACAACUCAUUCUUAAUAGAAUCUUAUCUAUUCAUAAUAAUGUCGAUAUGGUCCAUCCAAUACCAUACUUCCAACUACUCACAAGCGACCAAUCCUCAGCGAGCUUUGGAUCGUCCUUUGAUAGUUGUUUAAUUAUCUUAGUCAAAACCGAUUCUUGUCCUUUUUCCCUCUAAAUGCGCUAGACAUUUGGAAAAUUUUAGAAUGGUCAAAUAUUAUAGCAUUUGCAAUCGAUCCUAUACCCGAAGCGUAUGGGACACGAUGCAUAAUGUCUUACAUAAAGAUCUGAUACUUUAUCAAUCUUCUGCCAUAAUAUUUUAUGUGCCACGUUCUCACAAUUCGAACUAUGCCAUAAUCAUAAUCGAAAUUUGAGAACACACUAUGUAUCCUUGACUAAAUUUAUUAACAUUCCACAACCUAAGCCUUUAGAUUUGAAAUGAAGCAUAAUAUUCUCUCCCUUAAUUAUAGCAAAACAACUAUUCAACCCUUACGACUUUGCAAAGGAUAACUCUUGUUUUCUAUAAUUAAUAUUGCUAACUUGCAAUACUUGUUUUAAUAAUCAUACAAGCACAACAUUUAUGCUCCCACUAUCAUGAUGAUUAUUAUCAAAUAAGCAUAACACUUAUGCUCCCACUAGCUUUGACAUGAUAAUCCUUUAUCUAAGCUUCUUAAACUUAUACACCUUUGCCUUAGAUAGCUCAUAUGUGUGUCUAAACAAUUCAGACUAAUUGCCAAAUCUCACAAUUCGAAUUAUGGAAAGGGAUACCGUAACCAUAAUCGAAUUCGAGAAUACAAUUUUACAAUCACUAUCUUCUUAAAAUCUCUCUUAGUGAAAGCAUUUCCUCACAGUCAUCUUCAUGAAGGAGGAAAUCUUAUGACACUUAGAUUUUAAUGGUGUAUGUGUUCCUAUCCAUGCGAAUUAUCAAAACCAAAGUUGCGACAAAUCCAAAUUCAUAUGGACUGAACCUUCUCAAUCUCUAUCUCUUGCCUUAUGGUAACACGGCUGCCGACCAUGUCUUUCAAGUAGUUAAGCAACUCACCCUUUCUUAUCAAUGUACUUUUCAUUGAUCAAGGUGCUUGCCUUUUAUGCGUUCAAAUGAGAACUCAGUGAACUUACAUGCAUAAUUAACUCAAUUGGAACGGAACAGAAACAAGAUAGUGUCAACACGAUAGGUUGUAAACCUCAAGUCGUGUGCUAGUGAUGAUCGAUAAGGUUUAUUCUUGAUUAGUUCUUGAAACUUUUCAAGACCAUUAAGACUCCCACUGACUCCUUGACAUAUAAGAUUCUCUUGUCAAUCAACAUUUCUCGACAAACAAAUAUUCAAGAGUUAGUGUAGCUUUUAUCAAGACUAAACAUUUCACAAAAUUGGUCCUAGUUGGUCUUUGUCUUACCUAAGACAUCACAACUUUCCAAUUUCAAAUGUGCAGUAAUAAGAAAACCCUUUUUCAAAUUCCACAUUUGAUGAAUGUUAUAAACCUUCUUAAGACUCGUCACUCAUUGUCACAAUCUUAACUCUAAGACUUGGUUUUGGAACGAAGUAUGAUUGACUGCUCUAUUUAACCAUUUCUUCAAUUCUUGAUUCCUCUUCUCAGACAUACAAUUGCACUAAGACUCACUUAGAGGAUCAAUUGAGAUAUGGUUCUUAAUCAUUAAGACCUAUCAUAAAACAUAAUAAAGGUACUCUCCCUCCUUCUUAGAAUAGAGAAAAUUUUAUCUUUCUGCCUACUUGAUUCUUCUUAUUCGUUCUGCUAUUGAUUUAAACUCUUUCCAAUCAACUCGGAAUUACACUUAAUCUUAUAAGUAUCCACUAAACCUUUAGUAAAUCAUGACAAAUAUCUUUGUCACUCUUUUAGUGGACUUGAUGAACACACAACCUUGUGUACUUGAUCUCCUAGUCCUUCACUUGACACUUUGUCAACGAAUUAGUCUAAUUUCCAAAUAUGAAACUUCUCAUUCAUCAUGCAAUACUUGUUGUAUGAUUCCAAGUUUCUAUCCAAUUGAAACAUGGGCGAUGAGAAACUUUCCUAAUUUGGUAAAUUCGUGACCUUUCCACAAAUAACAUAAUUAAGAAUCAAAUCCAUUAUUGCUAAUAAUAGAAACUUUCAAACAUCAAUUUUCAUACACGCCAUUGCAAGGAUAAAUAAAUAAUAUAAAAAAUCAAAAUUUAUUUUAUUGCGGAAAAAAUUUGUCCUUACAAUGCAAUUCAAUUGAAAAAGUAUGUUAAUACAUAUUUCUUAGCAAUUUUAUUCUAACUUCAAGUAGUAGCUCAAGAUUCUAAUCUUCAACUAAUGCGAUCGAAAUCCAUUUCUACACGAUUAGAUUCCGCUCACUUCUUCCCUUAAGCUUCCUCUAUUUUCUUCGAUCCUACAAGACAUUGAAAUGUAAUCUUAUCACAUCAUGUAUUAAGAAUCUAGAACAGGAACUUAAGAGAGUUAGUUAAUGGAUUUUACCUAAAGCAGAGCCAUACGUUUUGACUCUCCCAUCUCUUAGAUCUCUUAGGUAAAUAGGGCAGCUUCGUCUCCAAUGCCCCUUCUCUUGGCAAUAAAAGCAAAUUGACUCUUUUGGAACAGCACACGGAACUACUUCUGACUUUGCCUUUCUCUUAUGAUCAAACUUUUCGAUCAUGGAAUGCCUUUCGUUGCCAUUGCCUAUAUCCAUAGAGGUCUGGAAGGCCGAUCCACCAAUCAACUUUUCCUUUCCAGUGCGCCAAAUCAUUGCUGAUUCAGCAGAAAUAAGCAUAUAGGUGAGAUCAAUGAGGCUUACAUCGUGGUUCAUCAUAUAGUACUCUCUUACGAAAUCACUAUAUGAGUUAAGAAGUGACUGAAGAACCCAGUCAACAGCCAGCUCCUCACAGACAACAGAUCCCAACAUUCUUAAUCUAUCAAUGUGUGACUUCAUCUCUAGGAUGUGUGCACACACUGACUUUCCUUCUUCAUGUUUACUUGCCAAAAGGGCUCAAGUGAGUUUGAACUUUUCAAUCUUUUGAUCUUCUGGGUUAUGGAGAAUAAUAGGUGGAGGUGGAGGAAGUGAAGCAUGAUCUCUUGUUCCUCGAUCGAAUCGUGGAAUAUCAUCUUCAUGUGAAAAGCUUGUUCCACGGGAUUUGGGAAGACCAUAGUUGUCAUACUUUAACAUCUGCAAAACGGGAAAAAAAUUAAAUUCAAGUUAAUUGAUUGAUUGAGUCCUUAAUAAAUCACCCAAAUGAGAUAUUAAGGCUAGGACCCAACACAAUACUCUACAACCUAGAAAAGGGAUGCCGUAAUCUAGUUGCAGAAUAUUUGAAGGUAAGUGAAUGACGAUUCACUAAUUUCCACCAUGAAAAACGAAAAAGAAAUUUAAGUUUUAAAUCUAUUGAAAAUUCCUAGAUCUUUUGAGAUUCAUUGAACUUUUCAAUGGCAUGUUUAAAUCUCGAUAUGCCCCUCUAGUUUGUGACUGGGAUACCGAGGAUCACAAAGCGGGUGUGAAUAACCAUGCAAACUUACAUGGUGCCCCCACAUGUUACAGUCACCUAUUCGAUGUGCCGGUAAACCACACACGCUCCACCGAACUAUGACAAACAUUGAGUCACCCUUUGCUACCUUUGCUUAGAACCAUUUAGUGUGCCGGUUAACCACACACGCUCCACUAACGUCUUCGCAAGGGCACAAAGUGUAAUUUCAUGGAAUUGCAUCAAUUCACUUUUUCCUAAAGUAACUAAGAUUGGGAAUUUUGUAAAGGUAUUUAGUUACUUUUGUACUUCAUUAUACUUAUAAUGGAAGGUUUCUGUCCUAUCCUACCCGUUCGGCUAACGACCCUCCACUAGUCAAGAGUGCGGUGGGUAAGAGUGGAUACCCAUUCAAUCGCCAUUUUAUAGGCAAUUUCCUUAAACACCCCUUAUAGACCAGCUUCGUGAAUGAGGCCUACUAACGGUAAGACUGACUGUUUACUCAUACAUAUAUAAUACUAGACUUUUAAUGUUAUAUAUAGUAUAGGGUGUAUUUUACUCUUUUAAAAUACUAGGUGUUUUAAUUUACUAAAUUAUACUUUUAAUUUAAUUAAAUGUAAACCAAAAAAAUUUAUGGGUUUAUUAAAUCUCUUUUAAUUAUACACCUUAAUUAAUUAAUAAAACCAUAAGGGUGUGAUUUGAACUUUUUAAAACAAUACUAGGGUUUUAGAAUUUAACAUUUCUAAAUUAAACUUUUAAUCAACUUUUAAAUUCCAAAACUUGAGGGCAAGUUUUGAAACAUUUCAAAACAUUAGGGUUUAACUUAUUUAAAUUUCAAAACCAAAACUUUUAAGUUCAAAUUUAAACUAUAAAACCUAAAUGGAUUAAUUUGAAACUUUUCCAAACUUUGUCAAGAAUAUUCUAGAUCACAUAAUUCAAAUAAGGCAAUUAACAAUUAAUUGGUGGUUAUCUAAUUAGAUCUAGUUCAAAUUCUUGCAAGAUAAUGAUCAAAUAAUUCAUAUAAUUUAACAUUUAUCAAAUAAGGUAACAAUUAUUUAAUUAGAUGACCAAAAUCUUUUAUUUUGACAAAGAUAAUCAUAAGGAAUCAAUAAAAUUCGAAUUUUAUCAAAUUUAAACAAUUAUGGAAAUUAUCCUAAGUGAAAAUAGGUAAAAAUCUCGAAAAUCCGCCUGUCUGACAGCUAAAUUCGCUGAGUCCCCUAAUGGACUCGUCGAGUUCACCCUACUCCACGAGUCAACAUUGGAACUCGACGAGUUUGUCAGGCAGAUAGCCAAAAACUCAAUCUUGCAACAUGAAUGAAUGUAUUAGGCAUCAAUACAACAGAAACCAAUCAAGUCUCUGAUACCACCGAUGGGUUUUAUCCAUAAGAACAUCCUUUGUGCUCAUGCAAACCCUAAUGCUUGGAUCUAGGUUUCUCUAUUGUACAUGCAAUUCAUCCAAGACUUUAACCCUAGUUCUAGCAUACAAUAUAUCAUAUUAACAUGUGAAAGGGUUUUUAGAUCUUACCUUGAUUGUUAUGUAGUAAUAACAAUCUCAAAUCCUCCUUGUAAUGACUUUAGAAAGCUUAGAGUCACAAGUGUCACUCCUCUAAUGGUUCACAAACACCAAGAGAAAGAUGAUGAAGAAUGAGGAGAGAGGAGGCGGCCUAAGAACGUCCAAAACCCUAGAGGAACUCGCAGCCACGUUUUUUAGGCUUAAGGGUAUUAUAUAUACAUGUAGGCUAUUAGGGUUUUCAACUAGGAAACCCUAAUUUGACUGCUUAUGCCCUAAGCAGCCCGUGGACCCUUUUAGAAUAUCCCUUCGACGAUUUCUAAUGGGUUUCCCCAUAAAAUUCGUCCAACCUAUUAUUCCAAGGUAAUCCAUAGCCCAAAUGCAAUUAUCUUAUAAUUACAGUUCCAGUCUCUUCAGUUUAAUUAAUCUCUUUUAGCCACAAAAUUAAUUAUCAAUUAAUUCUUGACUAAUAUUAAUUAAACAAUAUGAUUUAUCCUUUAAUAUAUUAUUCUCAUAAUAUAUUAAUAAAUCAUAAUUAAUCCUUUCUCUCCAUAAUUAAUCCUAUCAAGUUGCUUUGGUGAAGGCAACCCAAAAGGACCAUGCACCAUCGGGUCUAGUACAUACCAAAAUAGUUAUGGACUUAGACACUAAUCCAACGGUAUUUAGGGUGAGAAUUGUGAUUAGUAGAAGCCAUGCAGAUCAAAACUUGGUUUGUAUGAUGAUUAAAAAAGUAGAGGAGAGAGAAGGGUCGUCAUCGAUUGAAAGAAGAAGAAUAAUAAAGGACACCAGCUGCUAGGGUUGUGAGGGUCAGAGAUUAUGAUCUAAUACCAUAAUAGAAUUGGCCAAAAGAUUGACGUUAUCUCAUUAAUCAACACUAUAAAUAGUUGCAUAUAUCACUAGUAGAAAAACAGUCUUUUAUGAUGCGUAAUGUGUUUCGUAAAACGCUCAGACGACGUAUAAAUGCGCGUCAAGGAAGGCCCUAGCAUAACGAGAGACAACACUCUUUUGCGCGUCGUAACCUUACGACGCGCAUUUACGACGCACAAUGCAUGUCAAGGAAGGCCAUGUCAUAAAGAAGACGACACGCAUCCGUGUCUCGUAAAACGAUGCACAUUUAUGACUUGCAUUGCGUAUCAUUAAAGCUCAUGUCAUAAAGAAAGACGACGCACGUUUUUCCGUGUCAUAAAGUUUAAAUGUUUUAAAAGAAUAUAUAUUUUUUUGUAAAUUUACUAAUUUUCAAAUUACAUCACACAUUUAAUGUCUCAUAAUAUAAAAUAAAAUUUCAUACACAAAAAAAUAAAAUAAAUUGCACAAAUUAUAAUAUGUCAUACAAAUAAUCAUUCAAAUGUUAAACAAAAAUAAUACAUUGUUGUUGUUCCAAAAAAAAAAAUACAUUGCUAACAUGGGUUAUACAUUCCUAUAAAACUAACAACCCUCGGUGAGCUUAAUCUAGAUCGAAGUUGACUUGGAUCGAUGGCGACGAUUAGAUUUUAGAUACACACCAUGAUUACUGACGUAAGGCCUUGUGCAACAAGUGCAUUCCAUGCCCUAUUUCCAGCAACCACCACAUGUUUUAGUGUCUCAAGGGCUAGUAUACUUCCUCCUUUCCAUCUAAUAGUUUUCAUUAACAAUGGAACCACCUGUAAUUUAUUAAAUUAACAAGGUCAAAACUAAAAACUAAGUAUGCCCUUGCUCCUUUUCCCCCUUAACAUACGUAAAUAAUGAUGUCUAUCUAUAUAAAUCUUGUUCCUUUUCUAAACUGUAAGAGGAUUUUGAUUGAGUCAUUAAGUCCAUUAAGUCAAAAUGAAACAGAUACUAACAGUUUUAAUGAAGUACAUGACCAAAAUCAAAAUGAUCAUAAAAUAUAAAUAAAUAAAAAGGUGAGAGACUUGAGUUGUCCAUUAAGCAAAUGCAGAUUACCUUUUUCUUCUUCAAAAUAUUUCCAAUGGAGAAGGCAUUUGCGUAGGGUAAAGGCUGAAACAGGUUUGCCUUGACCAUCUAUUUAUACCAGCAUGUAGACGACUCUGCUGUCAAAAGACCAAACUGCCCUUGACAGAUUUAGUGACUUUUUACUAAACAGAAUACUAUAGAUCAACAAAGUAAAUAUAAUUUAAAAAAUAAAAUAAAAUGAUAUUUGAGAUGCUAUUUGGAGUUCAAAAAAAAACAUAAACAUUACCUGUUUAGGUGUAACGAAAGGAGAAGCAAUAGAAAUCUUCAAAAUUGUUUGGGUUAGCAUCCUUCAUAAAGAACAUGGACAACAAAAAGUUAGAUACUAGAUACUUUUUGGAGUUGAAAUAAAAUUUUUAUACAAAUGAUUAAAAGGGGUAAACAUGUAAAAAUACCUCUCUCUCCAACCCAGAGAGUUCUUUCUUUAGCUUUUUAAGAGUGUCGGCACGAAGAUAUGAUUUCAAAUAAAUAUUAAAAACUGACCAUUUUAAGUUUAUACGAAUUUUGGUUUAUUGACAAUUAAUAAAAUAUAAAAGAGAGGGACUGUUGAGUAUUUGAGAUAUUGAAACUGAUAUGGCAUAUUUGGUUAUUUAGGGAAGCCUUUUUAGGAUUAAUCAUUUUAUGAUUCCCUACGGUGGUUUUACAGUAGAAGUUCUUAAUCAAGCUCUUCUAAGGCAUUGGUUUUAUAUUAGGCAUUUAUUUUAUAUUUAUGGUAGAUAUUUAUUGUUCCCUAUAAAUAAUCAUUAGGUUUACUUUUGGUGUAAGCUUUUGACCAGAUUAGGGUUUUCUCUGUACGUUCAUCUCAUAAUCAAUACAAGAAAAACCUUUAUCAGAUUUCUUGCAUAUUGUGGUGAUUGAUUAUUGAUUGUUCUUGAUAUUCCACAUUCGUCAUCUCCGUAUUUAUUCCUAUCAAGUGGUAUCAUAGCAGGUUCUUGUAGAUCUCAGCGAUUUUUGCAAAAAUCGAUCUUGUUUAUGGUGGUAUUUUAUCAUGAAUCUCACCUUAUUCUUCAAGUUUUGUAAGCUUUCUGAAAAGAAAAAGUCUAAUAUCUCGUUUUUAUUGAAAAAUCUUGUUCAGAUCUGUUAUCUUCUACUCCAUAUUUCAUCUAAUUUGUUCUUGAAUCGUAUUCUGGAAGAAAUUUAGAAGAAAAGAUUAGUGUUUACUUGAAUUUUCGUGUUCAGAUCCACUUUUUCUUUCUAAAAUCCAUCUCAGAUAUGUUUUCUCUCACUAAAAACCCUUUCAGAUCUGUUUUUCUCUCUCUAGAAUCUUAUCAGAUCUACUUUCUCUCUCUUCAAGUUCUAUCAUUUGUUGAAGAUCCAAUGGAUCUUUUAGUCUAUAACUCCAUUUUAGAACUUGGAAUAAUGGUCACUAAACCAAUCUAUGGUGUAAACAAAUCAACUUUGUUUCAUGUUCUUGGUGAUUCUAUGUUGAGGAAUGUUACUGAGUUAUAUAAUCCCUUUGUUGAUAAGAAAAUAAAUCAAUACUCACAGGUUGAUGCACGUGAAUUGCAAAGGAAUGAGAGAAUAGUAGAACAAUUUCGUAUUAUCUAUGAACAUUUAGAUCGAGAAAAUAAACAGAUGUUGAAGAUGAAAGGGGCUGAAAAAGAAAAAGAAGAAGUUCAUGUUGUUCUUCAAGUUUCUGAUGAAAAAGUGACUCCAGAUGUUCUUGUUGAGGGGGAGUCAAGUGUUUCAUGUUUUUCAGAAGAGUUACAUUCCCAAUCUGGUACUUUAGAAGAUGAAUCUCAAAGAAAUUCAUUUGAAAUUGUGAAAGUGAAGAAAUUAUGUUCUAUUGGAACUCAAACAAAUGAUUCUUUAUGUUUUGAUGAUAUCUUUGAAGGAAUGAUUCCUUACAGAAAGCCAAUUCUUCAAGAAAUUCAGAUUUACCAAACCCCAAAAGUUUGUGUGUCAAAGUCUUCUAAUGUUCAAAUUCAGAAAUAAGAAAAAUAUGUUCAGAUCCGAAAUUUGUUUCUGAAGCCUAGAAAUAAGAAAAGGAGGAAGAAGAGAAAGAACAAGAGUAAAAUAAAGAAGGUUUGGAUGCCCAAGGUACAAGUGCCCAAUGCUUGUGAAAAAGUUUAGAAAGUUGAAGUCAAACAUGUUCAAAGAAUCUCUGAUUCUCAUUUUUCUUCCGUUAAAAAUGUUAGAAAUUGGAAGGAAAAGAAAAGAGAAUUUGGUUGGUUUAAUGAAAUUUAUGGAAAUUUUUAUUUUCCAACUAAGAAGCGCGUAUUAUUUUUAGAGGAUGAUAGAUAUUAUUCAAAUAAAUGGGUAUGCAAGAAACCAACUUCUAUGUUGAACCUUAAAGGGGUACCAAAAGUACCAUAAAAGGUUUUGUGCUUUAUAAAAAAAAACACAUGAUAAAGGGAAAAACUCUUGGUGAAAUCCGGUGGAUUUGGUUCAAAGAUAUGAUAUUGUGUUGAAGAAAUCAAUUUCCAUUGACUUUUAAUUGUUGGAAAUGACAAAAGGCUGAAAGGGUGAAAAAGUGGGUGAAAAGUGACAUUUUCUGCAAAAAGGAGGCUGUCACCUGACCCAUUUCAGCAAACAUGACACAAGCUGUCAGUUCAAAGCAUUAAGGAGGGUCAGAUUCGCCACUUUGCAGAAAUAUAGUGUUACUUUCGCAAUUUAGGACAAACAGUACUACUUUCGAAAUGUUGGGCAAAAACCGAUUCUUAGCUAAUUCACUGGGGACCAAUUUCAUAACUUGAUGUGAAACUCAUUUACAAUUGAGCAUUCCAGUAAAUUGACGUCAAAUUCACAGGUGGGAAUCGGAGAUAGUCAUCGAAAAACGAACUUCAUCAACGCACAAGAGAAACUUAGGCCUAGAAGCGAAAGUCUCAUUCUUUGCAGUGGAAUUGUCAAACAAGAAGCGAAAGUCUCAGUCAAGAAGCGAAACUCACGAUUAAGAACCAAACUCCAAUCUACUGUUCAUAAGUGAACGUUCGGUUGCUUUCGAUUUCGGUUGUGUAAUUAGAUUUGAAGAGAACUUUAUUAGCUUUCGGUCCCUGAUCAAUUGAAUUAGGUUCGCGUUCUCAUAUGCAUCUACAGGUUCGCUCAUAAUUGAUUGUCUAACUGAUUGGUUGGCAAGUCAAUGCUUUUGUUCGUGUUCAAGCUUUAAAAUACUGAGUUCGUUUGAUCGUUUAUGAUUCACAAUAGGAAUCAAUCGGUGUCGGUACUCUUCUGCAUUGGAAUCAAUUGGAUGUUCUGUAAUGAUUUGGACUCGGAAUCGACAUUCACAGGAAGGAAUGUUGUUGUGAAGCGAAAGUGAAGAAGCGAACUUGCAAAAAAAAUUGGAACCGAAUUGGACCGAACAUUCGGUCUAUUUCUGUUCAUCCAUCUCAGAUGCGAACAUUUGAAGCGAACCUGAGGGCUUUUGGUCCUUGAUUGAUUUCGAUCCUUGAUUGAUUGAUUCAGAGCGAGAGGUCAUGGAUUCGAGGCUACCUUGAUUCGCUCCAUUGAACUUGAAGCGAACAUCUCAGUGUCAUUGUUAUGCAAACGAAACUGGGAUUAUAGAUUCGCAACAAACCUGACAAUCAAUAUGUGAAGUUCGUCUCUCGCCAAAAGACACCAAAUUUGGAAUUAUACAACGAAUCUGAAAUUGGAAUGGGAGUUCAAAUAUUCAUUGUUCAAAGGUUUGUCGUCCUAAUUUGCAACCCAAAAUAAAUAUAACUAAAAUUUAAUUAUCAUCGUACAACAAGUGAGAUGGCAAACGGGCAACAAGCUGCGCCGCUAAGCCUUUUUGUAUAGCAAAGCUCAAUCUUUUAAAAACUACAUUCAUAGAACUAGGGGAUAUACCAUAGCAAUGCAUGAUCCGUUGUACUCUAUUAAGAAGCUCUACCGCAUCCGGUGCGAGGAAACCAAACGUAUCAAAUGAAAAUGGUAUGAACAUGUGUUGAUUAUCCAUGCACGAUUUGCAACUAGAGGUUCGUGUCUUCUUACAAUCAAUUCAGAAUCAGAAAAGCAAAACAAUCGAAAUUGUUGUUUGGAAUUUUGGCGAUCGUUAGUUACAUGGAAAUCAGAAUUGAAUGAAGGUUUAUUUCUAUUUUGACUUUUCUAAAUCAAAGAACGUGAUGAUUCGUUUCUCAGUUAAAAGGUGAAGAAGAUGAAUGUAUUUUACAGUUUCGGUCCCCUGAGUUUGAACAAAUUGGCAACUUCAAUUUAGUUUGACAAGUAAAAACGCACCUUAUUGAUUCAACGAAGAUGAUGGGUAAAUUUACAUUUCCUGUCCCUGAAGUUUGUGUGGCAUGACUGAUUUACUCCCAUAUCCCAUUAUUUCACAAUAUUUUUAGGAUUUUACCACUUUUACCCCUUCUUUCCAAAAGACUUUCAUUAUUUUAUUCUUUUCUUUGGUCUUAUUCUUUUAAAACCAAACUAAAUUAUUGCUUCUUUUCUAUUCUUUUGUCUAAAUUUAAAUAUCGGAAAAUACAAAAUUAUUUUUUGUUAUUUUUCGGUUUUAAUAUUUUGAAGAUUGGGUUUAUUCUAAAAGAAUUUAUUUCAUUAUAUCCGACGGGUUUUGAAGAUUGUUGGUGAUUCUUCUUAACUUUCCGGAUUCUCUCCAUGGUAUUUGUUGAAGAUUCAAGGGGGAGUGAUGAUUAUUCAAAGGGGAGUUCGUCUUUGGAAGAUUAUUUUUUAUUUCUCUCGCUUUGAAGACCCCAUGUACUGAUGAUUCUUACAAUUUAGGGGGAGAAAUGCCAAGAAGAUCAGAAAUCGUGAUCUUCAUCAAUUUCAACAUGUAGGGGGAGAUUGUUGAGUAUUUGAGAUAUUGAAACUGAUAUGGCAUAUUUGGUUAUUUAGGGAAGCCUUUUUAGAGUUAAUCAUUUUAUGAUUCCCUACGGUGUCUUUACAGUAGAAGUUCUUAAUCGAGCUCUUCCAAGUCAUUGGUUUUAUAUUAGGCAUUUAUUUUAUAUUUAUGGUAUAUAUUUAUUGUUCCCUAUAAAUAAUCAUUAGGUUUACUUUUGGUGUAAGCUUUUAACCAGAUUAGGGUUUUCUCUGUACGUUAAUCUCAUAAUAAAUACAAGAAAAACCUUUAUCAGAUUUCUUACAUAUUGUGGUGAUUGAUUCUUGAUUGUUCUUGGUAUUCCGCAUUCAUCAUCUCUAGAUUUAUUCCUAUUAGGGACAUUAUAGUAAACUUACCUAUGGAAUUGAUAAGUGAGGAUACGAUGACCACUACAUGCUUUACACAGUUACCAAUAUAAAAAAGAAGGACAUUAUAGUAAACUUACCUAUAGAAUUGAUAAGUAAGGAUACAAUGACCACCAAAUGCUUUACAUAAUUAUCAAUAGAAAGUGUAACUAGAAGCAGACAACUUAACACUUUGGUGUAUAUCAAAAAACAAGAUGCACUACAUGUUUUACAUAGUUACCAUAGCAGCCAAGAUGCACGACAUGUUUAACUAUAGCAAGUGCCCAAUUCACCUGAUUAUAUCAAAAACAACACAAAUCAACACCCAAAAUACAUUCCAUAACAUUACAUUACAAAAUAACUAUUCAAAAAUGUGUGUUGAAACCUAAGAAACUCUGAUUAUGAUAGAAAGCUAUGAGCUUGAUAGUUUCUUGAUGAUCAUUCUUUUCGUGAGUUUACAUCUUUUGUGCUUCUACACGCAUCAUCUGGUUAAAUGAAAAUCAUCCUCUAUUGACUGGUCUAAGGAUUUCGAAAUUCAAAACACAUUCCAUUUAGAUAUGAAGAAAAAAGUAGUAGUACAUGGCUUCCAAUUGUUCAGCAAAUUUUUAUGCCAAUAGAUGCCUAGCCAUUGUUAACUAGGUGUCUUACAUGGCCAUGAGUAAAAAAGCUAAUUGCUCUUAAGAUAUCCUUCCAGAUAUGAUCUUGAUCCAGUGUAUUCUGCAUUUGUAGCUAGUGAUCCAGCAUCACACAACAUGCAAUCAAUGGGUAACCAACAUCAGCAUCAACAUGGUCAUGGGCCUAGUGUAGUGGUUGGAACAUUCAACAUAUCCAAUAAAGGUGAUGAUGGAAUUCCAUAUUUUAGUCGGGUAAGAUAACAAAGUAUGAAUCAUUAUAAUAAACAAUGGAUUAGUCUUAGCUGCUGAAAAUAAUUCUUUCCUGGUAGAUUGUUUUUGCUAUUCUUGGUUCCUUUGGAUUAGCCAAUGCCAGAAGUGGUGGUGAAGUGAUAGAUUUGCAAGUAAGUGGCCACCCACCUUUGUAAUUUUUAAUCAUCUAGUAAUUCACCAUUAGUAAGUUUAUAAUGUAAUAGUAAAAGUGUUUUUUUGAGAUUUUUAACACUAAUGAAUAGUCUUAUUUUGUGCAACUCCAACAGCAACACAACUCUGAAAGGCUUUCACGGAUACCUGGUCUUAACGAAAUAGGAAGCUUCAACGGAGAAUAACCACAGCUAGCUGAAGAUGGUUCCAGAAGGGGUGCUGCUACAUUCACACUUCCAAGUGAUGUUUCCAUGGAAUCGCUGCAGCUCCCUGUAAAUAGAAAGAAUACUUUUGACUAUGUGAUACAUGUUAUUCUUGAUUCUUUAAGUACACUGUCAAAGUAUAUCAGGAGUUUGAGGCAAUAAUUUAGCGACAAUGGUGGGUGCGUUUUGUGAUGAAGUGAAUCUCUAAGAGGCAAUUGAUCUGAUUCUGAAUUUGAUUAUUUGGUGUUGAUAGUUAGAAUAUAGGGGAACAAUAAUAGAGGAGAGUCGAAUAAUACAAGAGCACCACCACAUUUAGGUGUUGGCCAGGGAGGAUUACCAACACCAACAGCCCUGGGAUAAGUGACACAGUCUGCAAGACAAUUGCUCAUUGAAGAAGCUGGAGAAAAACACACUAUACUUGGUACCUACCUUAUCAGUCUCAAGAAAAAUGGCAACCACAUGGGUGACAUAUAAUUCCCCAUCAUACACCAAAGGAUAGGAUGACCACAUCAUACACUAUAUAUUUCUCCUUAGCUCCACAGGGAACAAAACGCAAUGUAUUGUUGUAUAUGUAUUUAAAAAUCUUAAAGAACUAAGAACAACCAUUUUAUAAGAUGAUGAUGAUGAUAGAAUCAUGACAUUUGAAUACCUGAGUAAAAUGGCUGAAUUCUCCACAUAUUUUACAAAUUAUUUCUUCUUCUUUUCGUUUCUUCCAAUUACUUUCAGUAGCUUUAGAUGUCGCCUCCUAGACCUUAUCUUCCCGACUAGUAAAAUCAGUAGGAACAACAUUCGGGUCUCGGGUUCCCUCCUAUUCAUCAGAGCCAGCAUAGGACCUUUUGUUUGCCCCCCAGACCCACUUGUGAUUAGCUUCGGGAAAAAUUCUGAUUAUUAAGGUAAAAAUAAUCAGAUUUGGAACUCUAAAUGCCAAGUUACUCAAGAAAACCAAAUGUUAAGCUACUCAUAAAAAUGACCUAUCUCUAGCUUUAAUCAAUUGAUUAUUUGACUAUUUGACUAUGAUCCUUUGUGUUGCAAUAAUUUCUUACAAAACGCACAUCCAAACACACUUUAACAUUAUUUGAAUGUAAAUGACAUACAAGACUUGUUGGAUAUAGUGUCUAAGUUCAUAACUAUAUUUGGUAUGUACUUGACCCGACCCGGCAUGGUCCAUUUGGGUUGCACUGCACCCGAACAAUUUAUGGAUAAUCUUUGGAGAAUAGUGUAAGUUAUGAUUUAUUAAUAUAUUAUAAGUUCUAAUAUAUUAAUAUAAGAUCAUAUUAUUUAAUUAGUAUUGAUCUAUAAUUAAUCUAGGAUUAAUUUAGAGAUCAAAAGUAUUACUAAUUAAAUAUGGGCUCUUAUAUUUAUAUAGUGUGGGCUAAUGCUUAUUUGGAAUGGGCUAGGCUUGCAUGGAAAGUCCAUGGAUACUCCAUGGAGCUUUAACCCAUGGAUCUCAUGGAAAUGAAGAGACAUGGGUAUUAGGGUUUACAUGGAUGUAACCCUAAUCCACCACACUAUAUAAAGGAGGCUUUGGUUCUUGAAAUCAUACUAGUUGAGGUAAGUAAAGCAAGAGGGCCGAUUUCAAGAUAGUUAUGACUAUUCUCUCAAAGUUCCAAGUUUGUGGUGAUUUGUGAUUUCCAUUUGAGGCAUCCACACUAUUGGUGCUAGGCUCUAAAACUCCAAGCAAUCAACUACAACUACAAGGUAAGUAAUUCUACUAGCUUUAUUUCAUUCAAGUCCCCCAUGCCAUGCUAGAUAGGAUAUGAACCUUGGAAAAAUAAUUGUUUGCAUGUAUCUUAGACAAACAUAGAUCCAAGGUUUAUUAGGGUUGCAUGUACACUUAGGAAGUGUUAGAAUGCUCAAAACCCAUCAGUGGUAUCAGAGCCUAGGCUUGUUUGUUUGAUACUUGAUGCAAAAUAGUUGAAAAAGUCGAAAAACUUGUUGUCUGCCUGAUGAACUCGCCGAGUCCAUGGGGGGACUCGCCGAGUUCAUGUGUAUCUUCAUCCUACUCGCCGAGUAGGUUCGUGCACUCGACGAGUAGGAGCCUCAGAAUGCAGAUUUUCGACUUUUGCUGCUGGAAAUGGACUAGAAACAUUACCCUAAACUGUUUUGGUGUUAUAAAACUUGUUUUAGAUGGUGUAAUGUUUGUGCUAAUCCAUUUACAAUGGCUAAUAUCAAUUUUUCAUGAUUAUAUGUGUUCAUAUGGUCUUGAAACUUUGAUAUGGAUAUUCAUGUUCUUGAUCUUAUGAAUUUAGAUGAUCAUAGGAAUUACUUGUAACCUACUUGGUAGUUUAAUUCUUGAUCAUAAUGUGUUUUAAUGGAGUCCAUAACUUGUCCUCAAGUUAUGGAAAACCAAGAGUCACACUUGAAUUAAAACCAUUAAAAGAACACAAGAGUUAGAAAAAUGAAAAGUCUUCAUUUUAAUACUCAAUUAACUUCAUAAGUUAUAAGAAAUGAAAAGUUUUGAAAGUUUACAAAACUUGCCCUCAAGUUUUGGAACAAGUAAAGUCAUGUUAAAACCUUAGUUCCAACCCUUAGAAUUUUAAAAGUUAAAAUUCAACCCUUAUACUUAUAUUAUUAUGAUUUAAUAAUUAUAUAUAUAUGUAUAAGAACAAAGUCGUCUUACCGCUAGUACGCCUCAUUCACGAAGCCGGUCUAUAAGGUGGGUAUAAGGUUGUUGCCUAUAAAAUGGUAACUUAAUGGGUGUCCACUCUCACCCACCGCUUGCUUGAUCGGUGGAGGGUCGUUAGCCGAACGGGUAGGACAAGGACUUAUAAAUUCUCAUUAAAAGUAUAAUGAUAAUACUAAAGUAACUAAACUUUAUUGAAUUCCCAAUCUUAGUUAUUUUAGGAAAAUGUGAAUAAGGUGCUAAUCCAUGAAAUUACACUUUACACUUUGUUUAAGUCAUUAGUGGAGCGUGUGUAGUUAACCAGCACACUAACUUGAACUUAAUAGGGUAAGUAAAGGGUGACUUAAUGUUUAUCAUAGUAUCGAUGGAGCGUGUGUGGUUAACCGGCAUAUCGAUUGAGGGGUAAUACAUUAAGGGUACCAAGUAAUUUGCAUGGUUACUUCACACCUUGUUUUGUGAUCCUCGGCAUCCCAGUCACAAAACUUGAAGGGCACACUCGAGAUUGAAACAUGCCAUUGAAGAAAGUUCAAUGAAUCUCAAAGAAUCUAGGAGUUUCUAAACCAAUUAAAACCUAAUUAAAAUUUCGUUUUUCAUGGUGGAAAUUGGUGAAUCGUCAUUCACCUACCUUCAAAUAUCUUAUAGCUUAGAUUACGGCAUCCCUCUUCUAAGUUAUAAAAUAUUGUGUUGGGUCCUAGCCUUAAUACUACAUUUGGGUGUUUUAUUAAGGACUAUCUCUAAAUCUAAUCUAAUCUAUUCCCUCUUCUUUUCAGAUGUCUUCCAAUAACAAUGCUUCUGGCUCUAACCCUACUAGCUCUUUCUCUCUCAUGAAUCUUUGUGGGAGAGUCAUCUUCGAUGGAUCCAACUUUACUGAUUGGAUCAGGAACAUCAGGAUGGUCACUCGGUAUGAGAACAAAGAAUAUGUUCUCGACAAGGAGCUAAAGGUACCCGAGCCAACUGCUACUCCUGAAGAGCUUGCUGAAUAUGAGGUACAUGAAAGAGAUGCUACAAAAGUAGCAUGCAUCAUGAUGGCCACCAUGACAGCCGAGCUCCAAAAGUCCUAUGAGGACUAUUAUCCUUUUGAGAUGCACCAGGACUUGAUGGACCGUUACCAUCAAAGUGCUCGUCAAGAGCGAUAUGAAAUAAUCUCCUCCAUGAUAACAACCCGAAUGAAGGAUGGUGAACCCAUCACGGGCCACAUGCAGAAAAUGCAAAGGUAUGUGGACCGUUUACUGAAGCUGAAUGUGAACUUCCCCGAGGAGUUAGCAAUAGACAUCAUUUUGCACUCCUUACCAUCGUGUUAUGAUCAAUUCCGCAUGACAUAUCACAUGAACAAGGAAGAAGUCACCCUCAGUAAACUUCAGGGACUCUUGAAGACCGCGGAAAGUGGUCUAAAGGGUAAGUCGGUUGUUACUACUCCUACUCCUACUCCAACUGCGGCCAAUGUCUUGGCAAUCGGGCAUGGCAAAGGGAAGAAGAGAAAGAACCCUUCUAAGGGUACCAAGGGUAAGACCCUUGAAGGCUCCUCUUCAAGCAAAACCAAGAAAGGUUUUGUCACUCCUUCUGCUAACCCUAAUGAGGCUGAAUGCUUCUAUUGUCAUGAAAAGUCGCACUGGAAGCGAAACUGCCCAAAGUACCAGCAAGAUGUGAAGGAUGGGAAAGUAAAACCCAACCAUGCAGGUAUAUACACUAUAUUGUCUAAUAACUCACCUCAUUCUAAGUCUUGGGUCCUUGACACAGGUUGUGGUAUUCACAUAUGUUGUGAUUUGCAGGGACUAAGAAGAAGUGAGAAUGUGGAGCAGGGAAAGAUAAACUUGAUCAUGGGAAACAGGAAAGCUUCACCUGUCACCAAGAUAGGAGUUUAUUCCUUAGUGCUAAAUAGUGGGUUUACAUUAGAUUUGAAUAAGUGUUAUUAUUCGCCAGAAAUGGCAAGAAAUGUUAUUUCCUUUCAUGCAUUGUAUAAACAAGGUUUUACCUUUUAUUUUGAUAAUAAUAAUGGUAGUAUUGAUGCUUUCUUUAAUAAUGUUCAUUAUUUUAAAGCAUUACCUUGUGAUGGCGUGUAUGAAACUGUAUCUGUUGUAGAUAAUCUAGGAAAUAAUGUAUUGUAUAUUGACUCUUCCACUAGCUUAGAUAAAGCAUCUUUAUGGCAUUGUCGUCUUGGACAUGUAAGCAAGAAACGCAUAGGCCAACUCCAAAAGGAUGGAGUCUUGGAGUCAUUUGACCUAAAGUCAGAUGAUAGUUGUGAAUCUUGUUUGCUUGGUAAAAUGACAAAGUCACCUUUUACUGGCACUUGUGCUAGGGGUGAAGGUUUGUUGGACCUCAUACACACGGAUGUGUGUGGACCCUUCAGAACCGCCACAAGAGAUGCUAAUCGGUUUUAUGUGACUUUUACUGAUGAUUUUAGUAGAUAUGGAUAUGUCUACUUAAUCAAGCAUAAGUCAGAAACCUUUGAGAAAUUCAAAGAAUUUAAGCAAGAAGUGGAGAAUCAGUUGGGCAGGAACAUUAAGAUGCUUCGAUCCGAUCGUGGUGGUGAGUAUCUUAGUACUGAUUUCCUUGAAUAUCUUAAGGAACGUGGGAUUAUCUCACAAUUGACACCUCCUAGAACACCACAGUUGAAUGGUGUAGCAAAGAGGUGCAAUCGAACCAUGUUGGACAUGGUUCGUUCCAUGAUGAGUCGAGAUUCGCUACCAAUCUCAUUUUGGGCGUAUGCCUUAGAGACUGCCGCCCAUAUCCUUUAUCUAGUCCCUACAAAGAAGGUUGCCAAAACACCUCACGAGAUGUGGACUGAAAAAGUUCCCAAUCUAGACCACAUCAAGAUUUGGGGUUGUGAGGCUUUCGUGAGACGCGAGACUCACGAUAAGCUCGAACCCCGAAGCGAAAGGUGUAUUUUCAUCGGCUAUCCACAGAAAUCCUUUGGCUACAUCUUCUACAGACCCAGUGAUAAUGUGGUCUUUGUAGCAAGAAGAGGAUUCUUUCGAGAGAGAGAAUUCAUGAGUCAAGGAGACAGUGGGAGGCAAAUUGACCUUGAGGAACUUCAAGAGUCAAGUGAUGAAGGAACCUAAAACCCUAGACUUCAACCUGAGGAGGAAACUCCUGUUGAGACAAUUGAAGAAUCUAUACCUCUGAGGCGUUCCACCAGAGUUAGGAAUGCACCUAAGCAUUAUUAUGGUUUCCAUAUUACUGCGGAAGGUGAGACACUUAUCAGUGAUAACACACUGGUAAAUCUAGAUGAGCCUAACAGCUACACGGAAGCCAUGGCAGGCCCUGAGGCUGCUAAAUGGAAAGAGGCUAUGGAUAGCGAGAUACAGUCCAUGUAUGACAAUCAAGUAUGGAGCUUGGUUGACAAUUUACCUGAUCGUAAGAUAGUCGGGUGCAAAUGGAUCUUCAAGAAGAAGACCGACAUGGAUUCUAAUGUACACACUAAUAAGGCACGACUGGUUGCAAAGGGUUAUUCUCAAACUCUAGGAGUUGAUUAUGAUGAGACCUUUUCACCAGUGGCCAAGAUUAAAUCUAUUAGGCAUCUGUUAGCCAUUGCUGCAUUUCAUGACUAUGAAAUAUGGCAAAUGGAUGUCAAAACCGCUUUCCUUAAUGGAAAGUUGGCUGAAGAUGUUUACAUGGUUCAGCCAGAGGGUUUUGUCAGUACAGAGUACCCCAAUAGAGUGUGUAAACUCGAGAAAUCCAUUUAUGGAUUGAAACAGGCACCUCGCAGAUGGAAUCUUUGCUUUGAUGAGAAAGUCAAAGAAUUUGGCUUUUCAAGGAGUGAAGAUGAAUCUUGUGUCUAUAUCAAGGCUAGUGGGAGCAUAGUCAUCUUUUUGGUACUGUAUGUGGAUGACAUACUACUCAUAGGAAAUGACAUCCCAACCCUGCAGGAAGUAAAGUCCUGGCUUGGGAAGUGUUUCGCUAUGAAGGACCUUGGUGAAGCUGCCUAUAUCCUAGGGAUAAGGAUUUUGAGAAACAGGAGUAAAAGACUAAUUGGACUUAGUCAAAGCACCUAUGUGGACAAAGUGUUGAAAAGAUUCAACAUGCAUAACUCCAAGAAAGGUGAGUUACCUAAUUAGAGUAACGCCAGAUUGAGUAAGACACAAAACCCUAGUAUGGAGGCUGAGAUAGCAUAAAUGAGUCGACUACCUUAUGCUUCGGUUGUAGGAUCGAUCAUGUAUGCUAUGACGUGUACUCGACCUGAUGUAGCCUUUGCUUUGAGCAUGGUUAGCAGGUAUCAGGGGAACCCUAACAAGUCACACUGGACUGUGGUAAAGAAUAUCCCCAAGUACCUGCGAAGGACUAAGGACUGGGUCCUUACCUUUGGUAGGAGUGAUGACUUGAGAGUUGUAGGGUACAGUGAUGCUAGCUUUCAGACUGACAGGGAUAAUUUCCACUCUCAGUCGGGCUGGGUCUUUACCCUAAACGGAGGGGCAAUUACUUGGAAAAUUUCCAAGUAGGAGACUGUGGCUGGUUCCACUUGUGAAUCAGAGUAUAUAGCAGCAAGCGAGGCUGCAAAGGAGGCUAUAUGGCUAAAGAACUUCAUCGGAGACCUUGGAGUUGUACCAGCUAUAAAGGAGCCAAUGGAGAUUUUCUGUGGCAGCAAUAGUGCAGUUACCUUAGCCAAGGAGCCAAGAGAUCAUGGGAGAUCCAGACACAUUGACAGAAAAUAUCACUUCAUUAGACAACGAAUAGAAGAAGGAAUCCUCGUGGCAAAGAGGGUAUCAUCAGAUGAGAACCUAGCAGAUCCCCUCACGAAGGGACUGCCUCGGGCUAAGCAGCUCCAGCAUGCUCGGAGCAUAGAGCUGAAAGAUGAUAUUAGUUUUAGUAGUUAGAUAAUCUCGAAAUUUGUAAAAUGUAAUUGACAUUUGAUGAUAAAUAAAAGCUGUUAUUUAUUAGUAAAGUGUUGCUAUCACUUGUCAAUCGUUUACCAUAUUUCUUUUGCAUGUUUUGACUUCCAGAAUAAUUAUGUGUGGUAUAUCAUAUUAUUCAAAUCUCCAUUGUCGGUCAUACGUCGGAAGUAGGUAUGAAUCAAGACCGUCAUGAUUGGUUGCAGAGGUCAAAGGUGUUGGACAUGGCUAUAACAAUCAUGAGUGCUCAUAAGAUCUAAGCAUUGGACUCUGUGACAUCCCCAUUUUCACGGCCAGAAAAGACCAAUUUUUUUUGUUUAUGCUUUAUAAAAAUCAGAGUACUUCUUUUCAUAAAAAUGUUGCGGAAUUUGUUCCCAGAAAAAUACGAUAAAUACGUUAUCAAAACAUUUUCGGAGAAACGUAUUUUAUUCAUUUUAAAAUGUUUGGGAUGUCAUCGUCAAUACAGAAACAUAAGAAUAAACAGAACUUACAUUUAUUUACACUAGUGAUCUACAUCUCUUUUAAAUCUCUCGGUGUAAUGUGACUUCAUAUCAACACCUCUGAUAUAAAUAAACUGAGUGGGUCAGGUUGGGAAACCUAGUGAGUACAUAGGGUUUUCAACCCACAAUAAUAUAAUUAUUAUGUUUAAACAAUCAAACAAUCAACCCAGUUACCCAUCCCCAUUAUCUUCUUUACUCUUAAGGAUCUAUCCUAAGAGUCAUCUAUCCUUCAUUCAUUUAUUCCGAGGUCCCUUACUUCCAGGGUUAUAGGACUGGCACUAAAUCCAUAGCUGCCAAUGCUCGUUCGUAAAGCACUAAUUCCAUAGCUGCUAUAGUUUAUUCAUCGGGUACUCAAUCGAUAGCUACCAGUGUUUAUCUAUUAGGUACUAAGUCCAUAGCUACCAACUCCUAACAGGUACUAAAUCCAUAGCUACCAGCGUCUAACUAAUAGGUACUAAGUCCAUAGCUACCAAUUCCUAACAGGUACUAAAUCCAUAGCUACCAGCGUCUAACUAAUAGGUACUAAGUCCAUAGCUACCAAUUCCUAACAGGUACUAAAUCCAUAGCUACCAGCGUCUAACAGGUACUAAGUCCAUAGCUACUGGUGUUUGUCCCAUAGGCACUAAGUCUAUAGCCGCCAACGUAUACUCACGUCAUCUUCUAUCUCUCAUCAUUCAUCUACCCAUCUCAUACCCAACAUAUUCGUAUAUAUAAAAUACGUAUACAGUUUAAAUCCUUUAAAACAUGUAUAAAACGUUCAUCCAACAUAGACAACAAGUAUUCAGAUAAUAUGCACACAUAGCACGUAGUUUAUAUAAAAUACUUCAUAUCUAUGUGUAAGAUGAAAGGGACUAUGCACUCACUUGAAAGGUGGUGACUCAGCACUCGGACAGCGCUUCGAUACUCUCAAAACAAUUUUCCUUCGAUAAAACCUAGUACCAAUACCACUAGGGUUUAGUCUAAUGAUAAUCGCGACAAAUUAAUAGUCUAGGUAUUAUUACUAUUAUAUAAGCGUUAAAUAACACUCAAUAUAACUCAUAAUAAUAGCCCAAAUACUCAUUAUAAGUUCCUAAUAACGUUACUAUAUUAAAACAUAAGCUAUACUAAAGAUAGGGUAGGCAUAGCUCACUUACAACGGGUUUUCUUGAAAACCGAGCUUCGCUGGAGCAGCGUUACCGAGACGAAAGGAUCUUUUCUCAGGAUUCCGGGAGCCUCGGGGCUUCCUUCAGGUGCUAGGGGGUUUACCUAGGCUUUAGGGGGGGGGGGGGGGGGGGGGGNUAGAGAGAGAAACUAGAGAGAGAAAGUGAGUUUGGGAGGUGUGAAGAAAAGUGAAUGCCCGACACCUCUAUUUAUAGGAGGCCUGACUGGUGGACUCACCGAGUAGGAGGACCUACUCGCCGAGUUGGGGCAUGUGGCAGCCUUCUGGUGGUGCCACGUCACCCCCUAUCGUGUAUCAGCCUUCAAAGUUAGAAAAAUCAUAACUUCUUCAUACGAAGUCAGAUUUGGGAGUUCUUUUUAUGGAUUUUCUCGGUUUAACAUAUUCUACGACUUUCGUUUAGAUCACUAAGGCUAAAAAUUGCUCCAUCAUAAAUUUACUAUUUAUGCUUCUCGGUGGCGUGUCGGUUUUGGCGUAAAACUUCGACGGGCCAUAACUUCUUCGUUAUAACUCGGAUUUCGGCGUUCUUUAUAUGUACAGAAACCUUGAGACAUAUUCUACAACUUGGUUAAGACUAUUUAUUAUAAAUAAUAUUUUUCCGAAAAUUCAUUUCCGACACUUAUUGUCUCUAAAUUGACUAGCCCGGAUCUACGGGCGUUAAAUUUUUUAAAGUGGGUUAGAUCUGAUCCCACAUCGGCUGGGAAGGAGAAAUAAGCAUUCCUUAUAAGGGGUGUGGAUACCUUCCCUACUACAACGCGUUUUAAAUCCAUCAGGGCAGCAGAUCCGAUAAGAACUCUACAGUUAAGCGUGCUCGGGCAGGAGUAGAACCAGGAUGGGUGACCCCUCGGAAGUCCUCGUGCCGAGUGGCCCAAAGCGGAAAAUAUUGUGAUACGUGCCAUAGGGGGAUGUUACAAAUGGUAUUAGAGCCAAGGCACGGGUCGAUGUGUUCGACGGGGACGUCGAACCCUAUAAUGGGGGUGAAAGUGGGUUAGAUCUGAUCCCACAUCGGCUGGGAAGGAGAACUAAGCAUUCCUUAUAAGGGGUGUGGAUACCUUCCCUAUUACAACGCGUUUUAAAGCCGUGAGGGCAGCAGAUCCCAUAAGAACUCUGCAGUUAAGCGUGCUCGGGCGGNAUUUUGUGUAUAAUUCAAUGAGUGGUAGAACAAACAUAUGAGUCGAAGUUUAUCUAUUUCUUCUUGGAUUAGAAGCUGAUAUUUGGGCCCCUCGAUGAUUUUGUUUUGACCUAUGUACCGGGCCCGGUCAGAACUAAAUUGAUGUGUUCAGUUAAGUUCUAUGCCAAACAAAUCGGAAAUCGGGAAACAACUGCUGGACAAUAAGUAUGACCAUGUUCCAUGUAUUUGUCCGACUGAUAUCUAGAACAGAGGAUUAUAUGAUCACUUAUCUAAAAUGGCGCGUUCUAGUUCAACAGAGUUUAAAGAGCUACGAUUGCUGAUCGGUUCCUGAAGUCAUACAUGCAACUAUAGUUAUUAGACUUAUCCAAGUGGGAGACUGUUGGAUAUAGUGUCUAAGUCCAUAACUAUAUUUGGUAUGUACUUGACCCGACCCGGCAUGGUCCAUUUGGGUUGCACUUCACCCGAACAAUUUAUGGAUAAUCUUUUGAGAAUAGUACAAGUUAUGAUUUAUUAAUAUAUUAUAAGUUCUAAUAUAUUAAUAUAAGAUCAUAUUAUUUAAUUAGUAUUGAUCUAUAAUUAAUCUAGGAUUAAUUUAGAGAUCAAAGGUAUUACUAAUUAAAUAUGGGCUCCUAUAUUUAUAUAGUGUGGGCUAAUGCUUAUUUGGAAUGGGCUAGGCUUGCAUGGAAAAUCCAUGGAUACUCCAUGGAGCUUUAAACCAUGGAUCUCAUGGAAAUGAAGAGACAUGGGUAUUCAGGUUUACAUGGAUGUAACCCUAAUCCACCACACUAUAUAAAGGAGGCUUUGGUUCUUGAAAUCAUACUAGUUGAGGUGAGUAAGGAAAGAGGGUCGAUUUCAAGAUAGUUGUGACUGUUCUCUCAAAGUUCCAAGUUUGUGGUGAUUUGUGAUUUCCAUUUGAGGCAUCCACACUAUUGGUGCUAGGCUCUAAAACUCCAAGCAAUCAACUACAACUACAAGGUAAGUAAUUCUACUAGCUUUAUUUGAUUCAAGUUCCCCAUGUCAUGCUAGAUAGGAUACGAACCUCGGAAAAAUAAUUAUUUGUAUGUAUCUUAGACAAACAUAGAUCCAAGGUUUAUUAGGGUUGCAUGUACACUUAGGAAGUGUUAAAAUGCUCAAAACCCAUCAAGACUAUCAUCCAAAUUGAUUUAUUUCAACCUUUACAAAGUCGAAAGCCUCAAAACAAAAUAAAACCCACCAAUAUUAGAAUAUGAAUGAAUUGGGGCUCACCCGAAUAUGAGAUCUAUCCAUUCAUGUAAAUGUGCAGAGACAUGCUCACUCUCAAGAUCCAUGGGAUGCUUAUGAACAAAAUCAACAGAGUUUUCGGACCAAGGAGGAAGCUUAACACAAUCUGAGAACUAAACAAUAGAAUCAAAUUACAACCGUAUAAAAACAGGAAAAAAAACCAAUUAACGUUCAUAGUCCAUACCUAGCUUAUCUCCAAGUUGUGUGGUACCAAAAUCAAUUGAAUUCUAAUUUAAUAAUAUCUCUAGAAGGUAAAACAACUCCAGAUCCUAAGACAAAAAGAAAAGCAGGUUUUAUUGUAAAUUUUGGUGGGACCCAUGGCUUUUGCUAUGUUUCCAACACAAGUAAAGGUCUCAAGAGAGGGUCUUCCUCUACGAGGGGCAAUAUCAUUAACUAAUAAGAAGAAAAAUGGAUCUGUGUAUGAUAUGAAAAAAUAAUAUUAUCAUUAACUAGAAUUUAAAGUGACUACAUUGAUCACCUGAUAAGCAACCUAAUACAACUCCUAAACAUCAAUAUGUAUAUACAAACACAUGAAUCGCAUAUCCACACUUCAGGUAUGAACUGGUAAUCCAAACAGAAGAAUCACAAAACCUAACAAUAAUGAAAAUAUCAUAUUGUUAAUUUCUUUUUAGGUGUGAUUCAUUUCUUGUUAUCAUUGUUUUUCUUGAAAUGGGAAAAAUCUACAAUGAGAUAACCAAAGUUAGCUACAAACAAACCAAACCAAACAAAAACAAAAUAGCAUAAAUGUACUCACAUGAUUAGGCAGGAGCAGGAGCAGAAGCAGAAGGAGUGGUGCUACUUCUACCCAAACCCAUCUUUUGCCCCAAGACAGCAAGUUGAUCAAUAAACUCAGCACCAGUAAGAAUCUCAGUUGUCCCGUAUAUGAUAUGUUUAGCAGAAGAAGUUGGUUGCUGCUGCCUCCAUGCAAGCUCCUAGAAGCUUCCAUAUUCAAAAUAAUUCCCACCACCAAUCCUGAACACAAUUGCUUCUUUAAAAGGCCCUUUCAUUUGACCAGAACUCGAUUUCGGUGUAUGUGGGUCCAACACCAAGUAAGACUCAGUCUCCGGAUUAUUCGAUUUUCCUUCCAUCAAAGCUUCAAUCGUUGUCGCCAUUGCCAACUGAUGAUCACCCGAUAACAGAUUCUUAACACCUGUAGUCACAGCACUGAUAGACUGCCCAUAAAGCUUCUCAGCCCAAUCCACAAUGUUGCUUCUGCUAGCAGCAUUUGCAGAUGCUAACGAAACAUUUAACGAUUUUAUCUUUUUAACUUAUUGAAAUGCACACGUGUUCACCUCCGCUUCUCUCAAAGAGGAUUCAACCAUUUUGAUUUCUAUCUGAGGGAUGGUUUCUGUUGAAUUAAGGAACAUGAUAGCAAACCGAAGCUUAUCCGUUUUACUACCUUUCCCUUUAAGAACAGAUAAAAGUUCCCCCCGGUCGAUUCUGCCUCUCACCAUCAUUUCGUAUUCCUUUUUCGCUAUUGAAUCUAGAGACCGAUCUUUGAGGGUUUUCUAGUUUUUAGAUUCCUGCAACGUAUUAAGAAGGGGACAUGAUGUUUGAUGAGACCGAUAAGAAGGAGGUUAGGAGUGGCGGAGAAGCGGAUCGGAGAGAAGAGAGAAGCAUGGAGAGGGGAGAGUCGACUGUGAAGAUGAAAGAUAGAAAGAAGGUAGAAGACGGAUUUUCAAAAUUUUGGGAAUUUUGUUUCCCCCUCUACUAAACGCGCCUUUCAUUAAAAUUAUAAAGCGAUAGAUGUAGAGGACGCGCGUUUAAAAUAAAGCGCCCUCCAUGUUUUUAAUUUCUUUUCUAGAGACACUGAUUUAAGGGCACACAAUAAUGCGUGACAUAAAUCCUUAAAUUUUUGAAGAGAUGACACCUUUUUAAUGUCACUCUCUUUUGCGUAACAUAAAUCAAUGAGUGUCGUGGUUUGUGCGCCGUAAAAGGGUCUUUUUCUUGUAGUGAUAUAACAGAUACAAAUAUUAACAUAUGACUACCCUGACUAAUAGACAAUUUACAUAACCGAUACAAAGGUUUCCUAGUAUAAUAUAUAGGUAGGUUAUUGUUAACUUACCACCUCUGAAAUCUGUGGACCCAAAUUAGACGUUGUCUGAAAUAAAUUCUUUACUGAAAAUCAAAAUCAUCUAUCCCCCGCCUGAAAAAUCAAAUUACUACUCAAAUUACAACAUGAAAUCUGGUAAAUAUGUGCACCCAUGAAGCUUUCAACAGUCUUGCAGAGGGGGAAGAGAACAGUGAUGGAGUAAAUAAUGGUGAUAAAAAGGUGUCGAAGAUUGAAGACGAGUGGCGAGUUUACAUCAAUCGGUGUCAGAAGGUUCUUCUGAUGUAACUUAGAUUGACCGUGGAGCUCCGAAGGUAGGAAUAUAAAGAAAUAAUGGGUUAGGAUUCAGUGAUGGCGGGCAGUAAAGGAUGGUUUGAUGGUGGGAGACCUUAAAGCUUGAAUCUUGCUUGAAGGUCAUCAACUGUGGAUCAAUUUUUUUAGAUGUCAUUGGAGACCUCAUUGGCAGAGGAAGGAUGCAGGGGUAGAUAUCAACACAUGCAGAGUCUUCAGCAUGACUGGACCGCCUUACCAGGCCUUCAGCCAAUCUGGACCACUCUCAGAACCUUCAGCAGAUCUGGACCACUCUCAGAACCUUCAGCAGAUCUGAACCGCCCUCCUGGGCUUUCAGUCUGGCUGGACCGUUCUCCGAGCCUUCGGCCUGACUGGUAUGCCCACCGGCCUUCAGUCUAUCCUGACCGCUCAACCAGCAUCCAUCAUCCCGAAUUUUCCCUCCAGGAAAACUCUCCCAUGCAUAUUGUUCUAGCCCUCUAGGGGUUCCGAACUCUAUCUCCACCCUACAUACUCAAUCCCGGCCCGAUCCCAGGCCUUCCACAAUCAAUCACCCUUUGUCUGUAUCCCGCCCCCGCAUCCAUGCCACUUACUGAUACCAGCCUACACUCUUGGCUUUCAGAACCACUGCUGAAUCCCAAGCAGCUAAACAACCUCUCAUGACCAUCGAUCUACCGGAGAAUUUUCCAAUUCUCCCCCACUUAGAGCACUGACUAUCAACCACCGGUCGCCAUCACCGACCUCCCUUAUCAACCCUACACAACACAAUCCCUUACACGCGAUCUGGUUCCCACUAGAACGAGCAACCUUCACAAAAUCACAUAUUAUCACGGAUCAUCACGGCUCGAAAGAAACCUGACCUUCAGCCAACCACUCCUCUGACUGCAGAUGUUGCCCAACAUUCAGACCAAACGCCAGAUUCCCACUAAUAACCCUCACGAAAGAUAACCAACGAAAUUCCCAACACCAAACCCUUAACCAUACCAUAAUCCUCAAGGAACAACGAAUACAAUACCAGAAACCACACAACGAGACUAGCAGAUAUACAAUACUCCAAAAUAAUCACAAAAUAACAAGACAUCAAGAAAGAAACAUACCCGCAGCUGUAUCCGGCACUGCCCUGACCUCCUCUGCUGUAAGCUGAAAAGCACGACCCUGAGCCCUUGGGGGCUCCGCUCCACCCUGACCUCCACCCGUAAUCCUCAAAGUGGCCGGUGCUGGAGCCUGCACCGGUCCUGCAGCAAGCUGUGGACAGUUGACCCUCAAGUGUCCAACCUGAUGACAAUGAUAACAAAUCCUCAAAUCCCGACCCGGGGCUGCCUGCCGACAAUCCCUCGCAUAGUGCCCCUCCUUUCCGCACUUGCGGCAUGCACCACCGGACCUACAAACUCCGGUGUGACCCUUCCCACCCUUCCCACAAGUGUGGCUGCUUUGAUCUCCUAAUCUAGAAUCAACGGUCUUGGACCGUUUCGGCACUGGCUGCGACUGCACCGGAGCCUGUCUCUGCUCUCGCAACUGCAACUCAAUCUCCAACUCACGCCGCUUGGCGGCCUCCUGUAACUCUAACAAAGUCUCACACCUCUGCGUAGACACAAACUUCCUGAUAUCCCUCUUGAGCAUACUCAGAUAUCGGGACAUCUAAGCCUGCUCUGAAGCGAACUCAGGGCAAAACAUCGCUCUUUCAGUGAACAUCCUGGUGAUCUCCGUCACCGACUCCGAAUCUUGCUUCAGCUCCAGGAACUCCUGAGCCAAUCUCUCCCUCUCAACCCGUGGAACAUAGCGAGUGCUGAACAUCUCCCGGAACUAAUCCCAUGAAACUGAAGCUCUCUGCGCAUCCAAAUACGACCCCGUUUUCAAUCUCCACCAAUCCUUCGCCCCGAGCCUCAACAGGUUCAGAGCACACCUCACCCUCUGAUCAGUAGGGCAUGAACACGUGAAUAAACACCCCUCCACAUCCGACAACCAUCUCAUAGCAACAAUCGGGUCCUGAACUCCAUCGAAGGUGGGAAGCUUCGUAUUAUCGAAGUCCCGAUACUGAAAACCCCGACCAGCUCCUCCCCCUGCCGCUGCUACAGCCGUUGUAGCCGCCGCGGCAGCCGUCUCUGUGAGAGCUGCAUAGCGCUCAUCAAAAUACUCAACCAUGGCGGUCUUGAUCGACCCAAACAGUUCCGGCAACUCAGCCCGGAACAACGCAGCAACCUCAUCAUGCAGGAUCUCACGAAUCCUCGCAUCCAACUCGCAUGUGCUCAUCUGACCAAUAACCUCGGGCGGUACUGACCCGCCCUGACCUCCCUCUCCUGCUCCCGAUCCUGACCCGGAUCCGCUCCCAGCAUGCCUUGUAACCACCAUACUGAAAAACACCACAAGAUCUCAGAUACUUCCCACAAACCCGGGAAGCAACUCCCAACCCAACCCUAGAGGUCAUGGUUUCUUUUAUACGCGUAUGGGUCCUAUGCUUUCAGUAGUACGGGCCCAGACUACCUUCCACACAUACCUAUAUUUCUAUCAAUUAUACCACAACACCCUAGUGAAGAACAUACAUAACAAGCACUCAACCCUCACUCCUAGAGGAACACUGGAAAUCUCCCACAAAGGAAACCCUAGGCUAACAGGCAUCAUAAAUCAGGCAACAUUAUCAUGAAAUCCUGAAGAUCCCUAGCCUAGUACUAGCAUGCUGUUCUAUCAAAGCUCAAAACAAAUAUCAUGUAUGGUAUUUUGGGGUUACUUACUGGCUCCGGCUGAUCGUACCUCCGCGUCCUCCUUUACUCAUUUUGAAAACCAUUUUAAAUUCUCUUUUGAAAACCCUCCUCGAUUUGAGACUGGAUUCACACGAAUGUUCCUCCAAUUCACUCAAACCUAGCUCUGAUACCAACUUGUAACGACCAUAAAAUUCCAACCAAUUUAAACUUUUCGAAAACAACCCAAUUUCAUAAAAUUAUUACAAAAAGGUUUUCAAUACAAUUAUUUCAGAGUCUUCCCAUAACCACAUCAUAAAACAUAAACAUGAGGAGCAGUACGAUCACGCCUUUGCCUUGCCACGGUCUCCUGAAGAACCUGAAAAACAUUAAACCACAACUGUAAGCCCGAAAGCUUAGUGAGAUAUCCCCAAAAUACCAACCACAUAUACCAUACACGCACAACAUGCCAUAUCAUAACAGAACACAGAACAGCCAUGCACUUCGGGUCUACUGUGUGACUGGUCCGCCGCACCGGCCUUCAGUCCACCUGGUCCACCCUCCGAGUCUAGCCACAUACAUCGAGUCUGCAGUGUGAUUGGUCCGCCCGCACCGGGCCUUCAAUCCACCUGGUCCACUCUCUGAGUCUACAGUAUGACUGGUCCGCCCGCACCGGGCCUUCAGUCGGCCUGGUCCACUCUCCGAGCCUCGGCACGUCUGGUCCGCCCUCUUGGGGCCUACAGCCUAUCCGGACCGCUCGCUGGGCCUUCGGAACAACCGGUCCGCCCUGGGUAUCUUGGCCUACAGCACAAAGCAGGACCCGCCUCAACCCAACUCCAGUCCAAACAACCAUGUGCACAUAUACAUACAAUCAUAUAGCAAUUCACAGUCAACAAGCCGAUCAAACAGAUCACAUAACAUAUCAUCAUCCUAACCAGGAUACCGACCUAACCGGUCACUAGCAUAACAUCAUCCUAUAUACCAGGAUGCCGACCUUAACCAGGUCUCUAACAUAUAACAUCCUAGCUAUCAGGAUGCAAACAUAUCAAAGCAAUAACAUAACAACGAUACCUGGAUCACAAUCCGAUAAAGGGCCGGCCUUGGUGCCGUAGACCCUGUUGAUAUAGUGAGGAUAACUCACCUCGCAACUGCCGACUGAACAGAUAAACCCAAGUUGCUCCGACCACUGAUACGAUCUCCACCACUGGCCAACCACCAAAACACUGAACUCAAAACAAAUGCCAACAAUUACCAAAAUACCCCUGGAAAUCAACUGGUCAACCCUUGGUCAAAGUCAAAGUCAAAGUCAACCCCUGACUGACUCUACUCGCCGAGUCAACCCGAUGGCUCGCCGAGUCCCCAUGCACAGAACUUCCCCAAUCCGCGACUCAACUCGCCGAGUCACCCCGAGACUCGCCGAGUCCAACAACUCUGAGUCCUUUCACACUCGACUCACUGAGUCAUCCCUUGACUCACCGAUUCAUAACUCAACCAGAAGAAAGGUUAGGACCUCACGAGUCCAAGGCUAUCUGCAACCAACUCGCCGAGUUGUUCUUCCAACUCGCCGAGUUCCUGACCAUAUUCAUCCAACUCGCCGAGUUGUUCUUCCAACUCGUCGAGUUCCAGCUUAUCUUCAAGCAACUCGCCGAGUACACCCUUGUGACUCGCCGAGUACCCCUAGAUCUGAAACCAUACAGAUGCUUUCCAAGCCAUGCAGAAGCUCUAAACCAUAGAUCUACUCUUCUACAAGCCAUCCAUCAUGUAAAGUGGCAAACUUUACAUGGAUCCAAAGAGAUCUAGGCAUUUUACACUCUAGGGAUAGGGUUUGGGACAAAAGGGCUUCACCAAUAACUCCAAAAUCGGGACUCUAUGACAUAUAGGACCAUCACGAGCUUAGAUCUGAAGUAGCAUCCUCAAAUCCAAGCUUCUAUCUCAAUUUAGAUGUCAUAACAACCACCACACAUGAACCCCAUGAAGAAAAAGCUUAAGGAAAUGGUUCCUUACCCCUGGAAUGAGCCCAACCAACUGUAGAUUCCUGAUCUCCCCAAGCUUUCUGAUAGAAGCCUCCAAUCUUCAAGCUUAAAGCACCAAAGAUCCUUCUCCAAACUCUAAUUCACUCAAUAAUGGGGUCUCCUCAUGAAGUUAGGGUUUCUGGAACUCAAGGAAUGGUAAAGAGGCUGGGGAAGAAGUGUUAUGUUCUUUAUAUAGGGCUCAACCUCUGAAAUUAGGGUUUUCUCCACUCAGCACCAACUCACCGAGUCCACCCAAGCUACUCGCCGAGUUGGUCACUUAACACGCGACUAGAGUCGCGACCCUACUCGCCGAGUCCACUUGUGGACUCGCCGAGUUGCCCUCUCACACUUACACUUUUAGCCCUUCAACUCUACUCUUGAUAUUCCGGGAUGUUACACUCAAGGUAUUAUUCUAGAUCUCUUUUCAUAUGUUUUGUUCUUAGAUCUAGCCAUGAAAGUCUUGGAAUUAUCGCAUGUUCAAUUAGUGAAACCUAGAUUCAAGCUAUAGGGUUGUAUGUGCACAUAGGUAAAGUUCUUAUGUCCAAAACCCAUCAGUGGUAUCAGAGCCAUGAUUGGUUUCAAUUGACUAUGAUGCUUAACUGUUUUACUUGCUAAAAAUCGUUUUUCUUGCCCUCUGUCGACCCAACUCGGCGAGUCAGUUUUUGGACUCGGCGAGGUGACCCUACUCGGCGAGCCCCAAAGCUGGACUCGGCGAGUCCGAGCGUCAGACAGAGGAAAAUUCGGGAUUUUGUUGCUGUUUUGUCUUGGAUUGAUACCUAAAUCGUUUUAUUAUGUAAAAAUCCGAAUUUUAACUUAAUUUAAUGAUUAUCCUUGACAUAAAUAAAGAUAAUUUCAAAUCUUUUAAAUAUUGAUUAUUUAUAUGAUAAAUAUUUGACUAUUUAAGAUUAUUUGGUAAUUAUCUAAUGACUAAAAUUGGAUUAGGUCAAAUAUAGAUAAUUAUGAAAUUAACUGUUUAAUUUGAAUUAUUUGUUAUUUGAUCACUAUCGUUUGAAAAGUUCAAUUUCUAUCCCGAAGUUUUGAAAUUUAAAUUUUGUGGUUAAUAGUUUAAUUUAGAAGAAUUUAAAUUUCAACCCCUAGAGUUUUACAAGUUUAAAUUCAACCUUAUACUAUUAUAUUAUUAAAAGCUUAAUAAAUAUAUAAGUUAGAUUAAAAUGCUAGUCUUACCGUUAGUAGGCCUCAUUCACAAAGUCGGUCUAUAAGGUGGAUAUAAGGUUGUUGCCUAUAAAAUGGCGCUUAAUGGGUGUACACUCACACCUACCGCUUGCUUGAUCGGUGGAGGGUCGUUAGCCGAACGGGUAGGAUAGGGCAACUCUCUCUCCUCAUUAAUAAGUAUAAUGAAUCUAUAAAGUAACUAAACUAUUUUAUAAAAUUCCCAAUCUUAGUUACUUUAGGAAAAGUGAAUUGAUGCAAUCCCAUGAAAUUGCACUUUGCACCCUUGCUAAGAAGUUAGUGGAGCGUGUGUGGUUUACCGGCACACUAAUUGGUUCUAAGCAAAGGUGGCAAAGGGUGAUUCAUUGUUUAUCAUAGUUCGAUGGAGCGUGUGUGGUUUACCGGCACAUCGAAUAGAUGAUUGUAACAAUGAAGGCACCAUGUAGAUUUGCAUGGUAAUUCACACCCGCUUUGUGAUCCUCGGUAUCCCAGUCACAAACUAGAGGGGCAUAUCGAGAUUUAAACAUGCCAUUGAAGAGUUCAAUGAAUCUCUAAAAUCUAGGAAUUCUCAAUAAAACUUAAGGUUAUGUUUUCGUGGUGAAGAAUUAGUGAAUCGUCAUUCACUUACCUCCAAAUUAUUUGCAUGAUUGGAUUACGGCAUCCCUUUUCUAAUAUGUAAAUAAUGUUGUUGGGUCCUAGCCCUAAUUUUUCAUUUUGGGUGUUUAAUUAGGGAUCCAAUUCUAAUCAAACUUUGUCCUUUCUAUUUGUAGAUGUCGAACGCAAACAACGCUGCUGCUAACUCAUUCACGUUAAUGAGUCUUUGCCAAAAGGUGACCUUCGAUGGUACGAACUUUAGCGAAUGGAUAAGAUACAUUCGCACCAUUGCACGCUACGAGGACAAAGAGUAUGUCCUCGACGAAAAGCUCGAGAAGGUCAACCCGGAAAUCGCUACUCCCGAAGAGAUGGCUGUCUUUGAGACACACGAACGUGAUGCAACGAAAGUCCAUUGCAUCAUGAUAGCCACUAUGAACCAAGAAUUCCAAAAGUCCUAUGAGGACAUGUAUCCGUAUGAAAUGCAUCAAGACUUGAUGGAGAGGUACCACCAAAGCGCGAGGCAAGAGCGCUACGAGAUCAUCACUAACAUGAUCACCGCUAAGAUGGGAAAUGGAGAAUCGUUGACUGUGCACUUGCAAAAGAUGCAACGAUAUGUUGAUCGUCUUCGCAAGUUAAAUGUUAACUUUGGGGAGGAUUUGGCCAUCGACAUUGUUCUUCAUUCCUUGCCUUCAUGCUACAACCAAUUUAGGAUGACCUACCACAUGAACAAGGAAGAGGUCACCCUAAGCAAACUCCAAGGACUCCUAAGGACUGCUGAGAGCAACCUAAAGGACAAGUCUGUUGCACCAACUCCCGCACCAACCGCUGCUCCUGUUUUGGCUAUAGGGCAGGGAAGGGGCAAGAAGAGGAAGGCUCCGUCAAAGAGCCACCGCAAGGGAAAGUCCCAAGAUGGUUCCUCUUCUAGUGGGACCAAAGUUGAUCCCGCUAAGCCCAACCCUAACCCGAAGGAGGCAGAGUGCCAUCAUUGCCACAAGAUAGGGCAUUGGAAGAGAAGCUGCCCGGAAUAUCUGCAAGCCAUCAAGGAUGGAAAGAUCAAGCCAUCUUUUGCAGGUAUAUACACAAUUAAAUCUAGUAAUUCAUCUCAUACUAUUUCUUGGGUUCUUGAUACAGGAUGUGGUUACCACAUUUGUUCUGAUUUGCAGGGACUAAGAAGAGAUAGAGAUGUGGAGCAAGGAAGAAUAAAUCUAAUCAUGGGAAACAGAAGAUCGUCGCCUGUCACCAAGAUUGGAGUGUAUUCUUUAGUGCUUAGUAAUGGAUUAGGUUUAGAUUUAAAUAAUUGUUGCUACUCGCCAGAUAUGGCAAGAAACAUCAUUUCAUUUCAUGGUUUGUUUAGACAUGGAUUUAGAUAUUCGUUUAAUAAUAUGAAUGGUUCUAUUUAUGCUUAUCUAAAUGGUGUUUUAUACUUUGAAGAAAUGCCUUGUAAUGGAAUUUAUGAGACUGUUAUGGUUGUAGAUAACCUAGGAAAUGAUGUGUUGUGUAUAGAUUCUUCCAAUAGUAUAGAUAAGGCAUCUUUGUGGCAUUGUCGUAUUGGACAUGUCAAUAAGAAGCGCAUAGCCCAACUCCAAAAGGAUGGAGUGUUGGAGUCAUUCGACCUUAGGGAAGAUGACACGUGCGAAUCUUGUUUACUUGGAAAGAUGACCAAGUCACCCUUCACUGGCACUUGUGAGAGGGGUGAGGGUUUAUUGGAUCUCAUACAUACCGAUGUAUGUGGGCCCUUUAGAUCCACCACAAAGGAUGGAAACCGCUUCUAUGUGACUUUUACCGAUGAUUAUAGUAGAUAUGGGUAUAUUUACUUAAUCAAGCACAAGUCUGAAACGUUUGAAAAGUUCAAAGAGUUCAAGAAUGAAGUGGAGAAUCAAUUGGGCAGGAAAAUCAAGAUGCUUCGAUCCGAUCGAGGAGGAGAGUACCUAAGUCUUGAAUUCCACGACUAUCUCAAGGAAUGUGGAAUAGUUUCACAAUUGACGCCACCUAGGACACCGCAGUUAAAUGGUGUGGCAGAAAGGCGCAAUCGAACCUUGUUAGACAUGGUUCGUUCUAUGAUGAGUCGUGCUUCACUACCUAUCUCAUUUUGGGGGUAUGCCUUAGAGACUGCCGCCCAUAUCCUUAACCGAGUCCCUACAAAGAAGGUUGCCAAAACACCUCACGAGAUGUGGACAGGGAAAGCUCCCUCGUUGGCACAUAUCAAGGUUUGGGGUUGUGAAGUUUUCGUAAGACGAGAAACUCAUGACAAGCUCGAACCUCGUAGUGAGCGAUGUAUUUUCAUCGGCUACCCGCAGAAAUCCUUUGGAUAUCUCUUCUAUAGACCGAAGGACAAUGUUGUCUUCGUUGCGAGGAGAGGAGUUUUCCGAGAGCGAGAACUCAUAAGCCAAGGAGACAGUGGGAGGCAAAUCGAGCUUGAAGAGAUUCAAGAGUCGAUAGAUGAAGGAACCUCUACCGCUGGCACUCAACCCGAGGAGGAAACUCCGGUUGAACCAAUUGACGAGUCCUUACCUCUUAGACGUUCCGAUAGAGUUAGAGUUCAACCCCAGUUUUAUGGUUUUCAUAUUACUACCGAAGGGGACACGUAUAUUAGUGAUGGUACACUAAUAAAUCUUGAUGAACCUAAUAGCUAUAAGGAAGCCAUGGCAGGCUCAGAGUCUGAAAAAUGGAAAGGGGCAAUGGACAGUGAGAUUCAGUCCAUGUAUGACAUCCAAGUUUGGAAUUUGGUUGACAAUGUGCCCGGACAUAAGACGGUUGGGUGCAAAUGGAUCUUCAAGAAGAAGACCGACAUGGAUGGGAACGUACACACAUAUAAAGCGCGAUUGGUUGCGAAGGGCUUUACUCAAACUCCCGGAGUUGACUAUGAUGAGACCUUCUCACCAGUUGCGAAGAUUAAAUCUAUUAGAGUGAUGCUAGCAAUUGCCGCAUUUCAUGAUUAUGAGAUUUGGCAAAUGGAUGUCAAGACCGCUUUCCUUAACGGAAAGUUGGCUGAGGAUGUUUACAUGGCUCAGCCAGAGGGGUUUGUGGAUCCGAAGCAUCCGAAUAGAGUGUGUAAGCUUGAGAAGUCCAUUUAUGGACUUAAGCAAGCGUCUCGCAGAUGGAAUCUUUGCUUCGAUGAGAAAGUCAAAGAGUUUGGAUUUGUACGAAGCGAAGACGAAUCUUGUGUAUAUGUCAAAGCCAGUGGGAGUAUAGUAAGCUUCCUCGUUCUAUAUGUCGAUGACAUAUUACUCAUAGGAAACGACAUCCCGACUCUGCAGGAGGUUAAGUCCUGGCUCGGGAAGUGCUUCGCUAUGAAGGACCUCGGAGAGGCUUCUUACAUUUUGGGAAUAAGGAUAGUAAGAGAAAGAAGUAAGAGACUAAUUGGACUUAGUCAGAACACUUACUUAGAGAAGGUACUAAAACGUUUUAGUAUGGAAAACUCAAAGAAGGGAGAAUUACCGAUACAAAGUAAUGCCAAGUUGAGUAAGACUCAAAGUCCGAGUACCGAAGCUGAGAUAGCAGAAAUGAGCCGAGUACCAUACGCUUCCGCAGUUGGCUCAAUCAUGUACGCUAUGACUUGUACUCGCCCUGAUGUAGCCUUCGCUUUGAGCAUGGUUAGCAGAUAUCAAGGGAAUCCUGGCAGAGCACAUUGGAUUGCGGUGAAGAAUAUCCUUAAGUACCUUCGGAGGACGAAGGAAUGGUUCUUAGUCCUCGGAGGGAGUGAUGACUUGAAGGUGCGAGGGUAUAGUGACGCCAGCUUUCAGACCGACAGGGACAACUACCGUUCGCAGUCGGGCUGGGUCUUUACCCUAAAUGGAGGAGCAGUGACAUGGAAGAGUUCCAAGCAGGAAACCGUAGCUGAUUCAACGUGCGAAUCAGAGUACAUUGCAGCGAGCGAAGCGUCGAAGGAGGCAAUAUGGCUAAAGAACUUCAUCGGUGAUCUUGGAGUUGUACCUGCCAUAAAGGAGCCCAUGGAGAUUUUCUGUGAUAACGAAGGUGCGGUUGCCUUAACCAAGGAACCGAGGGAUCAUGGUAGAUCAAGACAUAUCGACAGAAAGUAUCACUUCAUUAGACAUCGUGUAGAAGAAGGACACCUCGUAGUUAAGAGGAUAUCAUCAGAAGAUAACCCAGCAGAUCCGCUUACGAAGGGACUGAGUAGGGUUAAGCACUUGCAGCAUGCUAGG